UAAGCGGCGGAACGUGGGGCUAGGGCUAUGAAAUUUGGAGCAACUCUUGAAAUGUGGUACUGUAUUUCCCUUAAUUUCUCCAUGUACCUUUGACAGUUUGUGCACUCUGUCCCAUCUGCUAGCUAGCCCUGGAACCAAGCAAGUCCGAAUUUCGUUAGAAUUUCUGCUGUAAUGUUUGCUCCUUUUGUUCUAUAUGUUCUAUUCGUGGCACUAUGCUCACGAGUUUGAGACCUCGAAUCCUCUAUGACCACAUGGAUGUCUAGAUGAGGAUAAGAGUUGCCGGAGUAAUGUUCUGCCGGGAGAUGCAAUGUUGUGUCUGAGAAGCCUGCAUGAGCAAGGGCACACUAUGUUGUAGCAGAGUUAUGCAAUUUUUGUUUCCGGUGGUUAAACCUGAACAUGCAGUGCCUCUUCAGGCCCAAAAAUCUAUCUUCAACGGAUAAUGUAGAACUAACUAACAUGUACAUCUCCAAAAACCAAAAACCCAUCACAACAGAUAAUGUAAAACUAAUGUAAAACCCAUCUCCGAUAGAUAAUGUAUAGAUGCAUAACAGUGUUCAAAAAAAAUGUAAAAAAAAUGUAUAGGUGCAUAACCCGAUAAUGUAGAUGCAUAAAACAUCUUCAAGAGGUCCAAAACCCAUCUUCAACAGAUAAUGUAAAACCCACCUAUCUCCAAUCUCCAACAGAUAAUGACGAUACAUAACCCAUCUUCAACAGAUAAAACCCAACUGAUAAUGUAGAUGCAAACCUUCUUACAUCUUUACAUCUCCAUGAUGGAGGAUGCAAACCUUUCUACAUCUUUACGGUUCAAAGCUAACAAAUAGAUCUCAUGUUGGCACUCAAUGGCUAAGAUCUCCAUGAUGGAGGAUAUAAAACACAACACCUGGGGAUGCAAAUAUCCAUUUACGGGAGAUGUAAAAUCGGCGGUCGCGUGUCAAUUGCAAUUGCCUAAUUGUGUUCAUUUGGCCGCCCGUUGACGGCCAUGCCGUCGCCGAUGACUGUUGACAUCAGAUUUUGGCACGGUCAAUAACUUAUUUAAGAUGGGCUUCGAGAUGAAAUCGGACGGUGAUGACCCAAACUUCAAAGAUGUUUAUAUCAACAAUACGGAACUCUUUCAUGAAGAUCACAUCUUCAUUUAAGGCCAUCUUAAAUAAGUUAUUGACCUUUUUUCAUUUGAGGUCGUCUUGGGGCUUAAUAGUACUUUAAAUAUAAGUUAUUUGACUAAGGUUUGACGUGAAUCCAAGACUUUUCCUUGCACGGGAAGUCCAGCCGCCUUUUAUAUACCUUAGGGGUGACGGCCGAUUGAACAACACACAAUCGAUCAAUUCAUCUACCAUUUUUUUAUCAUUUAUCUUUUAUCUUUUUUCCUUAACCCUAGCUCUUCUUCUUUCUCGUUCUUCGUUCGUUCUUCUUCAUUGCAGGGCGGCGAACCUCGAGGCCCUAGGGGCGAUCAGGUCGACCUAGGGCAGCCCAUAGCCACCGCGCGCCCUGACGGGGUCCUCCCGGUCGUGUUGGGUUUCGGGUCCUGAAAAGCACCUGCCGAAUUGCUUGCGUACCGCGCUUCCGUACGGGUCUCCUUCGAUGUGAGCUGCGGUGCAUCACCCUCGGUGUUGGAGGUACACGGGGACGUGUUCGUGUGCGAACACAUUUUUUGGCGACUCCGUUGGGGAAGAAGCUUCGAACGGUCUCCGGACCGUUCUUGCUACGAAGAGAUCGUCAUCUAGGGUUUGCUGUCUACGAAGAUAAUAUGAAUACCCAAUCCCUUUAUGUAGAUACAAAUAAUUCAUAUGGUGUUACUAGAUCGUUCAAUGAGUAUACUCUAUCGGCCAAUCCCAGUUUUUUCAACAUGGAACUAACUACGUGCAAGGGCCGAUUCAAAGUAAUUUAUAUACUUCAACUUCUGAUGAUAUUAGUAACAUGCAUCAUAUGUAUCCCAACUCACAUGCAUCGGCAACCCAGCAAAUUCAUAUGUCGAUGAGCAACAUGAUGAGUUCGAUUAAUCAAUUUGAAACACCCCAAGUUAGAAUUUCCAAUGCCAUACAAGAAAGUGUUUCACCCUUUUAUUCAUCGGCAGCUAAUGUGCAAUAUAGUAAUCCAACCAUGCCGAUGAAUGAGAGAAUUAGCCAUGCUACUAGUGGCUAUUUGACCAGUUACUCUCAACCGUCAUAUGCUACACCUCAUGUUGGUAAUUCUUCGGCACCAUACACAAUUGUAGAUGCUCAUAAUUCGGCUUCACACCUUUUUGGUUAUAGCCAAAUGAAUGUAAAUUUUACAGGAACGGUUGUGCCCAAUAUUGUAGAAGAUGAGGUAGUGAUGGCUGCAUUGAAGAGUUUAGCCCAAAAUAAGAGAAUUAGUGCUCUUUGCCUUGAACAACAUGAAAAGGGGCUAUUUCCUGAUUAUGCCGCAAUAAAAGCUAAAGUUUUGCAAGAAGAUGAAUCUUUGCCAAUUGAUAAAAUUGGCGAGCAAAAAUAUGGUCUUACAACAAUGCAUAUGCCUUCACCUAGUACUACAUCAUAUUAUACACCCCCUACACAAUUGCAAAAUUUCAGCAACACCCGUGUAUCAUUGCCGAAAGAAUAUAAAAGCAUUCGGGGGCAAUCAUAUCCGGAGUGGGCUGAAAUUGAGAAAAAGCUUAAAGCUAAUUUUGCCGCUCGCCGUCAGAAACAAAUAGAAAAAAAAUUGGCUCAGAUAAAAGAAGCAUUGUCAAUUGGUAGUAUCAAUGAAAAGAAGGAUGAUUCGGAACAUAAAAGUGCUUCGGUUGAAAAAGCCGAAUCAAGUAGUUUAUAUUCUGAAUCCAUCAAAUUCAAUGAGGCAAGCAUUAUUGAGAAAUGGCAUGGUAAGCAUAGGAAAACAACGGUGCUUGAUUUUUCUGAGGUUAAUGAAACCUACUUCCUGCCUUAUGAGUUCCGUGCCGUAGAAAUUGACAAGCUUCAAGGACAAGAACAAGUAGCCGAACAAAGUUCGGUCGACAAAAAUCUUCAGUGUAAUGAUGCACGGAAUAAAGAAAAAGAUGAUAAAAAGGCGUUGGAGAGUCAUCCAAAGAUGAAGCUAGAUAUUGUUCAAGUCACACCACCAUCAUGCUCUCCCAACGUAUUUGAAGAGGUAUGCAUAGCGAGUAAUUUACCUAUUUUCAGAUUUGGUCACAACUUUAUUGUUGAUGCAUCUAUUAGAAAAAUCCUCAUAGGUAAUUUUAAAAGACCAAUGAAGAAAGGUAAUUUACUUGUUAGCGAUAAAAUUGUUUUAGAACAUAUCGGUCAACCAAUUGUGCCAUUUAUAAAGACCGAUAAUGACUUAUUAUUGCAGCCGAAGCUUUCCCCGUUGCUUUAUCUAAAGUUCAUAUCUAUUUGGGUAGCUUUGCUUAUUUCGUACUUGGCUUGCACUUGGUCUCAAUUGAGACAUGUAUGUUCUAACUAUUUUUAUUUCAGAAAUUUAAAGCCAAGGUCAAAUUUUGUUGAGAAAACUGAUGCUAGUAUAAUAUCUUACCCAAAGACAUCGGUGAUAGAGUACAAAACACAAUGCAUAGCCGAAUGGUGUGAUGCAAAAUCUGAACCAUUCCUUUGCUUAACUCCAAAGCCGUUUUCACAACAAGAUCGGCAAGAGAAUGAAAAGUUUACCUUCAAUUCAAGCAUGUGUGAUCAAAUAUUUGAUUUGUUGUUGCAAAAUAAUUAUAUUAAAAUUCUUGAUCACCAUGUUGAACCAUCUAUCCAAGGACGAAUGUAUUGUAAGUUGCAUGAUUCGUCCAAGCAUAAUUUUGAGGAUUGCAACAUGUUUCGUCAAAUAGUUAAAUCGGCCAUUGAUAAAGGAUGAUUGAAAUUUCUUGAGACACCCAGAGAUGACCAGUCUAUUCCGAUUGGUCCCGAUGGCAGAAAGUUUUUGCAUCGGCUGCUUCAAGCCGAUUCAUUUGAAGAGAAGGUAAAAACUACAGGUGAUGGGAUCAAGCUUUCAAGUAAAGAAGUUGUUGAAGAGCAUAAUGAACAUAAUCUUGAGGGUAAGAAUUCCAUCGAAGCAACAAUGGAGAUGCCAAGGACUGGGGGGCAGCAAGCAAAUCCAAUGAUCGAUGAAAGCAAACCAAAAGAAAACAAAGGCCAAAAUAAGCGCAAGUGCAAGAGAUCAAAAAUCACCUUCGCUGAACUAUUGGAUAAAUAUCAAAAGAAGAGUGAAGAGAAGAAUGUUUAUCAGCCAAAUCAUGCAAAGAAAUCAAGGUCACCCCCAAGGCGCAAAUAUGAGGAUCGAUAUUGGCAAAGUGAUAAUUUUAAUGAAACAUAUUCAUAUCCUUAUUUUGGGCCACCAAUGCCAAUGUUGUGGAUACCUCCCUAUGCUCAUAUAGAUACAUAUUCAUCAUGGGACAGGUAUAAUACAAGGGCACAUUCUCCAUCUUAUUUUAGACCAUCUCACCAAUACUAUGCAGCUCCAAGGAGAUCAACAUUUGAACAAUCACGCGUCAAAGACCGUUUCAAUCAUAAGGAAUCGGUCCAGAGCUCAAGAAAGAAGAAAGAGGUGGUAAAGCAAGUUUACCGCGUGAAAAGAGAUGGUCGUAAGUGUGCUGCUUCAGAUUUGAUCUCAAGUAACAAAGAGCCAAUUAAAGUGUUGACAUUGGCUACAAAAGGCAAAGAAGUGAAGCAAUCAAUUGAUAAAAAUCAGAGUGCCAAAUCUGAAGAAGAGAAGUGGAGAAUGCAAAAGGCCGAAAAGGAAUUGCCAUUGGUCAAAACAGAAUCACAGCCGAGAUGCCCACUCGACUUAUCAUAUUGGCAAAAGAAGAAAUUACAAAAAAUUAGUGCACAAAAACUUGAAGAAAGAAACAUGGCAUGGGUUCCUAAAGGAAGUACUCAAAAUAAGAAUUAUGUGAAAACAUCCAUUACACGACGUGCGGCAAAGGUGAAGAAGGAAAAGAGUGAAAACUAUGAAGGACGCGAAGGUUUCAACAUCUUCGGUCUACACAUUAUCCAUAUUCCUCAACUAUGCCAUUGACGCUUAUGCCAUAGAAUUCGUCAUCAGGCAUGAUUGGUAACCCUCAAUGGGCUUAUUUUAAUUCAUGGAUGCCAUAUAAUUUCUUACAUCAUGAAAGGGUAUUACCAAGUCACUAUACAUUCGGUUAGCUACAAGUUUGUUGUUGAUCCAAAGGGCCAAAAUACUUGAUUUGACAUUUCGUUUGUUUGUUUCGUCUAUAUGUGCUUUGAACGAAGUUUACAUGGUAAUGGUCGAUAUUUACCUAUCGUCCUAAGAGUAUGUGUCGGAGUAAUUGGCCACGGGUACCCCGAAAACAGCGAGACAAUUAUUCAAGACAUCGGGGCUAGCAAAGCGCCUCAGUCCGACUACCCGGCCGCUCCUACCGACUCCCCGUCCGACUGCCCUGCUCGGCCGGCUGCCGGCUGCCGACUGCGCCAACCAGCCGGCUGUCGACUGCAGCUCGACCCGACACCGACAAGACCCCGACGAGACGACCAUACCGCGGACAAGACAACCGUACCGCGAUGCCAUCAUGUACAGUGUCACUUGUCCCUGGACACUAUUCAUGAAGUGACCUAGAAGACAAGCAUGACACCCACACCAUGCCCCCAUGCCCACUUGUCCAUGCCACUACAUAGCUUAGGAAGUAAACUAGCUAUGCCUAUAUAAAGGCACACAUCCAUCCAUCCAGGGAAUGGACUCCCAUGGACUCACGCACACACCCACAAGCAAGCUAGCUAGCAAGAGAGCUAGCUAGCCAUCCAUCCAUCAACUCCCACGGGCAAACAUGCCCAAGCACAUCCAUUCGGCCAAGAGGCAACGACCACCAGGCCGCGUAUAUAUACAAAGCCAGAUGCCUAUGGCACUGAGCUUAGAUACAGCUUCAGGAGCACUCUGUACUAGAUAUAUCAGAUACACUCAGACAUGCAGCAGUAGGAGUAUUAUCUCUGUUGAGAGCUCCGAAGCUGGGUAAACCACCGCGUGCUACUCGCAUACCCGCUCCCAGACCUAUCAGCCGCAGUCUUACCCUCACACUAAGCCCUUGUGGCAUCUGUCGACUCGCAAGCCCUCCGUGAGAACACCACGACAGUUGGCGCCCACCAUGGUGUGGUACUACUACUAUGCUACCACGCUGCUGCUGGUUUCGUAGUCCGGGCGGGACCACUUUCGUCACCACCGCGGCAUCACGCCGUCUCUCCGGUAAUGCUCGGAGACUCGACACCGACAAGCCCCCGGGCAGCUGCGCGGGUCGGCGCACCCUCGUCGUCGGCCUCGGCCUCUUCGUCACCACCGUUGCAGCGCUGGUAGUCCGUCCGCCGCCUCGCUUCGGUCGGCCUCGUCACUCCGUCCGCUGCCCUCCGCGCCGCGUCUCGCUCCGGCCGGAGCGUGCGGCCGCUCCUCCAUACAUGGCUCGUGUAGUGUUCAGAUACACUGCCCAUAUGUUAGCCGGAUAAUCCCCAGAAAAAUCCCAUACCAUAGCCAAACCAUUCCCCGUACACUAGCCACGCAUUAUCCAUACAAAAGUCAGAUGUUACCCAGACUAUGCCCAGACAUUGUUCGAGCUUUGAGCAGCAGCAGCGGCCGAGCGCCUACGCCCGCGGCCCUGUGGCUGCUGCUGUGCCACUGCCCGCGGCCUGCUCCGCACGCACGGCCAUCCGGCUUGCUCCGCUUCCCGACCGGCUCGUCCGCCUCCCGUGGUCGUCCGUCGCGGUCCCUCGUCGCCGCCAGCUCGCCGGGCUCACGAGCCGGCUCCUCCGCCCCCUGCUGGCUGCCAACAGGCCCCAUCAGCACGCGCCCGCGCCGGCUCGCCGACGGCCCAUCCAGUGUCGUGCUCUGCCACCUCCGCCCGCGUUGCGACCCCGCACCUGNNNNNNNNNNNNNNNNNNNNNNNNNNNNNNNNNNNNNNNNNNNNNNNNNNNNNNNNNNNNNNNNNNNNNNNNNNNNNNNNNNNNNNNNNNNNNNNNNNNNNNNNNNNNNNNNNNNNNNNNNNNNNNNNNNNNNNNNNNNNNNNNNNNNNNNNNNNNNNNNNNNNNNNNNNNNNNNNNNNNNNNNNNNNNNNNNNNNNNNNNNNNNNNNNNNNNNNNNNNNNNNNNNNNNNNNNNNNNNNNNNNNNNNNNNNNNNNNNNNNNNNNNNNNNNNNNNNNNNNNNNNNNNNNNNNNNNNNNNNNNNNNNNNNNNNNNNNNNNNNNNNNNNNNNNNNNNNNNNNNNNNNNNNNNNNNNNNNNNNNNNNNNNNNNNNNNNNNNNNNNNNNNNNNNNNNNNNNNNNNNNNNNNNNNNNNNNNNNNNNNNNNNNNNNNNNNNNNNNNNNNNNNNNNNNNNNNNNNNNNNNNNNNNNNNNNNNNNNNNNNNNNNNNNNNNNNNNNNNNNNNNNNNNNNNNNNNNNNNNNNNNNNNNNNNNNNNNNNNNNNNNNNNNNNNNNNNNNNNNNNNNNNNNNNNNNNNNNNNNNNNNNNNNNNNNNNNNNNNNNNNNNNNNNNNNNNNNNNNNNNNNNNNNNNNNNNNNNNNNNNNNNNNNNNNNNNNNNNNNNNNNNNNNNNNNNNNNNNNNNNNNNNNNNNNNNNNNNNNNNNNNNNNNNNNNNNNNNNNNNNNNNNNNNNNNNNNNNNNNNNNNNNNNNNNNNNNNNNNNNNNNNNNNNNNNNNNNNNNNNNNNNNNNNNNNNNNNNNNNNNNNNNNNNNNNNNNNNNNNNNNNNNNNNNNNNNNNNNNNNNNNNNNNNNNNNNNNNNNNNNNNNNNNNNNNNNNNNNNNNNNNNNNNNNNNNNNNNNNNNNNNNNNNNNNNNNNNNNNNNNNNNNNNNNNNNNNNNNNNNNNNNNNNNNNNNNNNNNNNNNNNNNNNNNNNNNNNNNNNNNNNNNNNNNNNNNNNNNNNNNNNNNNNNNNNNNNNNNNNNNNNNNNNNNNNNNNNNNNNNNNNNNNNNNNNNNNNNNNNNNNNNNNNNNNNNNNNNNNNNNNNNNNNNNNNNNNNNNNNNNNNNNNNNNNNNNNNCGUAUCCGCCCUUGGCCCGGCCGCUCUGCUCCAGCCCUUGUCGGCCCUCGCGCGCCCGUCGGGUCGCCGCCCCGCGUUGGCCGGCUUCCCCACGCCGGCCGGCCGCUGCCGCCUCCCCACGCGAAAGGAGCAGAGAGAAGUGGUGGCUGGCUAGAGAACUGAAAAAGAAAGAAAUUGGCCGGUUGCCCGCGGGGCAAAGUUGCUGCCGGUUGGUAAAGAAAAGUCAAGGGCCGGCUGGAAAAAAAAGAAAGAAAGAGCACCGCGUCCGGCUGAGAAAGUGGCCAGGUGCUGAGAAAAAAGAAACGUGCAUGUCCGGCUAACAGCAGCCGGCGAACGAAGAGAAAAUAUAAGGAAAAAGAUUGUUGCCGGGUGGAGAAAAGUCAGGCCGGAUGCCCACCUGACUGCUCGUGCACAAGAAGCGUCCGGCUGUCAACAGCCGGCAAAAGAGAAGAAGACAAAGUAGUCGCCGGGAGAUCCGGCCCGACUGCUCAGCAGUCGGCCCGAAUCUCGGGGGCUACACACGCGCCCCCGCGAGAGAGAAGACAAAGUAGUUGCCGGGAGAUCCAGCCCGACUGCUCAGCAGUCGGCCCGAAUCUCGGGGCCUACACCCAGCGGGUGCACUGAGGCGCCCCCGCGAGAGAGAAGACAAAGUAGUUGCCGGGAGAUCCGGCCCGACUGCUCAGCAGUCGGCCCAAAUCUCGGGGGCUACACCCAACGGGUGCGCUUGACGCGCCCCUACAAGAGAGAAGACAAAGUAGUCGCCAGGAGAUCCGGCCUGACUGCUCAACAGUCGGUCCGAAUCUCGGGGGCUACACCCAGCGGGUCCGCUGGCGCGCCCCCGCGAAGAUUGCAGACAAGUGAAGAGUUUUGUCUGGCUGCCAGCAGCCAACAGAAAAGAAAAAGAAGAAAAAGUGCGUUGCAAGACGCCUCGCCGCCUGGCCGGUCAAGCCUGACCGGCCGGGACCCCCCCUUCGAGCACCCAGGGGCUCGAAGGCUACAUCCAGCGGAUGUGCUGGCGCACUCCGCGAGCGCCAAGUUGCGCCGGCUGUCUUCGGCAAACUCCGUCUCAGGUACACAAAAAUCAAUGUGAGCUUCUCACCCGCAUAUUUUCUCACCACGCAAAGACGGAUAGCCUCGAGCGAUGCUCGGGGGCCACCUCCGCUUUUAUUACAGUUGCACCACUGUUCGCCCCGGCGCCAGCCAGAGUUGGCCCGGAGGCUGGCCGCUUGGCCUGAGACGUUUGUUCCCGCAGACGGCUUAGUAGCGUGCGCGGUACCAAAGACCCACUCUUAGUCACAGACCGCAGAGCGGCUGUCCGGCUAGCAAGAGUGAACGCUGAAGGCCACCCACGCGAAAAACGUCCGGGAAGAAAAACGGUUCGGGCGACCCGACCGUUUCCUUUAUGAGUAUCUGCUCGGUUAAAUUCGCUCCCAGAGUCUGAGUAUUGUACACUCCACUCCGCGGCCCACUCUCAUCCACAGACUGCAGAGCGGCUGUCCGGCAAGCGAGAGCACAAGCCAAAGAGCGGAGGGAACAUGAAAGAGAUUAAGGGGGCUCGGACAAAACCGAGUAGGCACCCUUCGCAUAAACUUGCAAUGCUAAAAACAUUCAUUUGAUAUAUCUACGUGGAGUAACUUUGUCUUUUGGAUGAUCAUUUCCAUGAACACCCAUCAAAAAACCUCCGCCCAACUUUGCCAAGUUGCCCGGAGGCUUGGGGGCUACUGUCGGAGUAAUUGGCCACGGGUACCUCGAAGACGGCGAGACAAUUAUUCAAGACAUCGGGGCUAGCAAAGCCCCUCGGUCCGACUGCCCGGCCGCUCCUACCGGCUCCCCGUCCGACUGCCCUGCCCGGUCGGCUGCCGGCUGCCGACUGCGUCAACUAGCCGGCUGCCGACAGCACCGACCAGCCGGCUGCCGGCUGCCGACUGCAGCUUGACCCAACACCGACAAGACCCCGACGAGACGGCCAUACCGUGGACAAGACAACCGUACCGCGACGCCACAAUGUACAGUGCCACUUGUCCCUGGGCACUAUUCAUGAAGUGAUCCAGGAGACAAGCAUGACACCCACACCAUGCCCCCAUGCCCACUUGUCCAUGCCACUACAUAGCUUAGGAAGUAAGCUAGCUAUGCUUAUAUAAAGGCACACAUCCAUCCAUCCAGGGGAUGGACUCCCAUGGACUCACGCACACACCCACAAGCAAGCUAGCUAGCAAGAGAGCUAGCUAGCCAUCCAUCCAUCAACUCCCACGGGCAAGCAUGCCCAAGCACAUCCAUUCGGCCAAGAGGCAACGGCCACCAAGCCACGUACAUAUACAAAGCCAGAUGCCUAUGGGACUAAGCUUAGAUACAGCUCCUGGAGCACUCUGUACUAGAUAUAUCAGAUACACUCACACAUGCAGCAGUAGGAGUAUUAUCUCUCUGGAGAGCUCCAAAGCUGGGUAAACCACCGCGUGCUACUCGCAUACCCGCUCCCGGGCCUAUCAGCAGCAGUCUUACCCACACACUAAGCCAUUGUGGCAUCUGUCGACUCGCAAGCCCCCCGUGAGAACACCACGACUGUAUGUCAAUGCAUGGCCGGUGUAGUAUUCUAACAUCGUCCUUAGUUCGAUUGGAGAGCAAGACAAGUACUAUAGAGAUUAUGUUUUGAUUGUUGAAUUCAUAACAAUGGCCACAGUGUUGGUGUUGUUUAUGUAUCUCCAUAUAGUGCUGUUCUGUGAAGCCUCAUGCCUCUUAAAAUAUUUAUUGCACAAUAAUCAUAGUCGAAUACGCAAUGUUAUUCGGUUUGGAACUUUUUCCAUAUGUGCUAAACAUAUUGAGGCUUUUGAUGAUUCGUUAUGAGUAGUGUAACAAAUAUCCAAGGGUUAUCAAUGUUUUGACGAAUCACUUAUAGUUUAUCUUGGGGAAUGUCUAAAUGCAAAAUUUACCUUGGGUUGCUUUAAAACUGUUCAUAUAUCUAGAUAUGACAAUUUGAAAGAGUUGGCACAGCAAGCAUCCGGCUACUAUGUUAACCAUGGUGUAUUGUAUUUCUAUCAAUAGCCGAUGCUAGGUUUUGUCAACAUAGGUAAGGCCAAACUGAAGCCCACCGCUUCGGCCACUAAUGAAACUUUUAUGCAGGCGAAGUAAGGAUUGGAGGAAGUUUAUUCUUAAUUAUCUGCAAAAUCCUAGCGAAAGGGUGAACAAUAUGGUUCGGAGGAUGGUUUUGAUCUAUGGAACCUUAUCACCGGGUUGUUAUUGAAGUUGGGAAAGUUUCACCCAAACUUGCAUUGAAAUAUUCACACAAGCAAUGGCCGAUCCAAAGUUAUCAUCCUAAGCAUAUGCAAAAUGGCUGAUGAAGUAUUGACAUCGUCCUUAGAGCAAGCUAUGUGCAAGUUAUUUUUCGGCACACAAGCUUUGCCGAAAAACAGGGGGGCAUGUGUUGACACCAGAUUUUGGCACGGUCAAUAACUUAUUUAAGAUGGCCUCAAAUGGAGAAGUGAUCUUCAUGAAAGAGUUCCAUAUUGUUGAUAUGAACAUCUUUGAAGUUUGGGUCAUCGCCGUCCGAUUUCAUCUCGAAGGCCGAAACUAUGCUCAAAGUACUAAGAUCUUAUAUCCAGAGUACAGUUUGGCUGAUUAAGCCCCCAAGACGGCCUCAAAUGGAAAAAGAUCUACACGGAUUGUCUUCGUCUCAUCGAAACGAUUAAUUUUGAUAUAAAAAUCGUCCAAAUCCGAGUUUGUAUGCAAAAGUUAGAGCAAUCGGAGUGCAGCCCUGUCACGAGGCGAAAUAUGGCGCGCCCCAACAGACGCCAUGUCUGAUUGGUAGCGCGAGUAAACAGAUCUUUUGCGCGAGCUAUUUGACCCUCAAGAUGACCUCUGAUAAAAAAACGUUCAACAUGAAAGUUUUUCAUAUCGUCGAAACGGUCAAGAUUGCUUUUGGACUCAUUUCCAUCCGAGAUCGUUUACCACCACAAAAAAGACCCGCAAGGUGCAGCCAGUUUAAACCUAACAAGUUUGGAAAGUUCGGACAAGACCAAUCCGAAUUUGACUAGGGUUUUGGAUGUGAAUCUAAGACUUUUCCUUGCACGGGAAGUCCAGCCGCCUCUUAUAUACCUAAGGGGUGACGGCCGAUUGAACAACCCACAAUCGAUCAAUUCAUCUACCACUUUUUAUCUUUUAUCUUUUAUCUUUUCUCCUUAACCCUGGCUCUUCUUCUUCCUUGUUCUUCAUUCGUUCUUCUUCAUUGCAGGGCGGCGAACCUCUAGGCCCUAGGGGCGAUCAGGUCGACCUAGGGCAGCCCAUAGCCACCGCGCGCCCUGACGGGGUCCCUCCCGGCCGUGUGGGGUUUCGGGUCCUGAAAAGCACCCGCCGGAUUGCUUGCGUACCGCGCUUCCGGACGGGUCUCCUUCGACGUGAGCUGCGGUGCAUCACCCUCGGUGUUGGAGGUACACAGUGACGUGUUCGUGUGCGAACAAUGACCAAGUCAUCUCCGCCGCCGGUCGUUUGACCCACCGCGCGGCGUGACCACUUUACCCGAUCCGACGUCCGCCUCUGCCGCCGCCAUGUUGGCGUCCCAUUGUGCCUCAUGCGGCCUACCAGCAAAGAAGCAGCGGGCCACCAAGCUCCGCGAUGGAGGCGUGAAGCGUCCAGCAGCAUGGGACAAUGUGGGGCGGCCAAGAAUUUGAGGCCGGACGCGGCUGCGUCAACCAAUCAGCUGCCACCGACGGCCUUGGCGUCCGCUUUUGGCCAAGAAGCCCUUCCCCCACCUUCGCCAUCGCCACUGUCGGCCAUGGAGGAAGAUAUGUUACGCCCACGAGCACCGCGUCCAACGUGUUUCGACAAAAUGUUGCGAAGGUAAAAGAAAAUCUUAAUUUUUUGUGCUCUUGUUUGUUCUUUCAAUUUUCGAUACGGAUAAAAUUUGAGGUUGAUUACGUGUACGUCCACUUGUAGUCUUGAUGAUGAACUUUCGUGCGUGCGACAAAUGUGUCAAAUGAUAAUUAUUUCUCUCAAGAGUAUGCAUCACAAGAAUAUGAUACUCAAUUUGAUGAUGAUAAUCUCGACAUGGACGAAGAGGGCUUCGUUAUGAAGGGAAGAACCAUACAUUAUAAUAACCCCGAAGAUGUGUUGAUUUGCUUGGAAAAAGUCUCUCUUGAUGCAUCCGUUGGGACCGAUCAAGCUGCGAACACGUAUUGGCAACACAUCGAGGAGUACUUCGAUGAGGACAACACUAGCGACAAUUUUCAAUCAAGGGACUCUAUCCAUCAACGUUGGGGCACCAUCAACGCCGAAUGCCAAAAGUGGGCUGGUUGCUUGGCAAAUAUUGAGCACAUGAACUGAUUGGGUGCGGUGAUAGUGACUUGGUAACCAUUUGCUACUUGUGUGCUUUCUCUACUUUCUGCAAAUAUUUAAAUGCUCCCUAAUUUGAUGAUGACAUCUUGAUUGUUUUCUUGUAGAAAAUGAUUGCGCAAGGAUUAUCUCGAGAGAGGAACAACAAAGAAGAGAAGAGGAAGAAUAAAGGAAAAGCUUUCCCUUUCCAUCAUUGCUACAAUGAACUCAAGAAAGAGGAGAAGCGGAAAACUAGAGGAGCUUUUUAUGCUUUGAAAAAGAAAAGUGUGAUAAUGGAGGAUGAAUAAGAUGGCCCCGGAGAGGAGAGAAGGAGCCCCACUCCUCACCCGGUGACUAAAUCAUAUAGGCCCGAUGACUAAAUCAUAUAGGCCCGAUGGAACUAAGCAAGUGAAGAGUUUCAAGGCCAGAGACAAUGAUCUUAAAGAAGGGUUUGACGCCAUUCUCAUUGCGAGGAAAGAGUAUGCCGAAGAAAAAAUAUGUUGUAGUUAAAAGAAAUGGAGGAGAGUGGAGAAGUGUAGCAGCGGAGGGCAGCGACCGAGGAGAAGAGGGUGGCGGCCAAGGAGAGAUUAGCGGAGGCCUAGGAGAGAAAGAUUGAAUUAGAGGAGAGUAAGGCGGCGACCGAAGAGUACAAGAUGGUGGAAUAGAAGGCACCUAAGUUUAUGUUCACAGACACAUCUACUCUUGAUCUCAAGGCAAAGGCGUAUGUCGAGCUUUGUGGUGAUGAAAUGAUCAUGAAAAGCAAAUGCUCAUGAGAAACAUGAUGGGAGGAGGAAUGGGAGGUGGCAUGGGAGCCAUGGAAGAAUUGGGAAGUGGCAUGAGAUGAUGAAUGGGAGUGGAAUGGGCGACUACAUGAAUAUGAUGGGAGGUGCCAUGAAUGGUGCAUUUGUGGCAACAUAAGUGGCAUGGGUGGUGGCUUUGGUGGCAGCAUGGGCGGCAAUGAAGGUGGCUUCGGCGGCAACAUGAGUGGCAUGAGAGAUGGCUUCGGCGGCAACAUGGGCAUGGGAAGUGGCAAUGAAGGGGCUUUUGAUGGAGUUCACGACAACGAGAUUUCAACUCAUGAAAACGUUGGCAAAGAAGCCAUUGAUGAUGAUUGAUGACCCACAAGUAUAGGGGAUCAAUCAUAGUCCUUUCGAUAAGUAAGAGUGUCAAACCCAAUGAGGAGCGGAAGGAAAUGACAAGCGGUUUUUAGCAAGGUAGUUUCUGCAAGCACUGAAAUUAUCGGUAACAUAUAGUUUGAUAGCAAGAUAAUUCGUAACAAGUGACAAGUAGCAAGAGUAACAAUAGGUGCAGCAAGGUAGCCCAAUCCUUUUUAUAGCAAAGGACAGGCUGGAACUUUCUCUUAUAGCAAGCAAAGUGGUCUUAUGGACACAUUGUCGGUGUCAAAACCGGCAGAUCUCAGAUAGGGGGUCCUGAACUGUGCGUCUAAGGAUCGAAGGUAACAAGAGUUGAUAUCCACUGCCUUUAUAAGAAGACAAAGAUCCAUCUUUUUACCCCACGCCUUCUUCCUCCUCAGCCUAUCUGCCAUUCGAGCUCCAUCGCCCAAGUCUCAAUCCUUUCAUCGCCACCAAACACUCCUAUCCAUGUCCGGAUCUGGAGCGCAGGGCAAGUGGAUGGCUUCCUCUAUUACAAAGGAGAACAUCAAGGAGCUCUGUGAAGCUAGAUACUUAGCCACGGACAUAGUCCAUCGGCUCCCUGCCAAAAAGAAGAUCAUUCCCACUCCAGAGCCUAAUGAAAGGGUAGUGUUCAUCCCCCAUUUCCUUCACGGACUAGGAUUUCCCCUUCAUCCUUUUGUCCGCGGUCUCAUGUUCUACUAUGGGCUAGAUUUUCACGAUCUAGCCCCAAAUUCCUUCGUCAACCUUUCGGUGUUUAUCGUCGUGUGCGAGGCAUUCCUCUGUGUCCCUCCCCACUUCGGCUUAUGGCUCAAGCUCUUCAAUGUGAAGCCAAAGGUGGUCGAGGGCCAACACGCGGAGUGCGGCGGCGCCAUGGUGAGCAAACUCCCCAAUGUUACCUGGCCAAAGGGGACCUUUGUGGAGAGCGUCAAAGGAUGGCAGCAGGGGUGGUUCUAUAUCAUGGAACCCCGCGACGCCACAUGGCCCGCCACUCCUGAGUUCAAAUCUGGGGCCCCGAUGUGGCUUACAUCCUGGCUCAAUAAGGGCCUAGAUUGGGAGUCGCCUGACAAGGUGACGACGCUGGAGAGCUGCGUCAAGGGCAUGGUAAACAAGAAUACCAGCCUCGCCAGCGUGAUCCAGGUGAUGCUUUUUCGCCGGAUUCUCCCUUGUCAGCGCCAGACUCAAUAUAUGUGGGAAUUCGACCCGGCAGCCCUCGCACACUGUGGCGGUUCUUCAGCACGACGCAGAAGAUAUAUGGUAGCUGCUCUUCAAAACUCAAAAGUCAUGGCCGGAGACAACCGAAGAUCAUGGCCUUGACAACACGUCCGACCACUCCUGGAAGUUUUAUGAUAACUUUUAUUUGCAAAUCCAAGGAGUAUAUUGAACUUUCUUAUUCCCGCAGGGCUGGACUAAGAAGGCGGAGCAGAUCAAAUGUCCGGCUCCGCUGCCCGAGGACGAAGCCACCCCCUUGCUGAUGAAGAUGUUGGUUCCGGUGCCAUAUCAGGUGCCGGAGAAGAAGGCCUAGAAGAAGGGCAAGGAGGCCAGAAGUGGCCUCCAUCGUAAGGGCGCUUCAGACGCCGUGUCCGAAGACACCGAGCCCUCCUCCUCUCAAGAUGAAUAUGUAGAGGAGGAAGAGAGUAACUCUCCCCCCAAGGGGGGGAGAAGAAAAGGGCGGCUUCCGCGGAUCUAGAGGCGGAGGCGAGCAAGAAAGGAAAACACUCCCUUUCGGAUGAUUCUGAAGCGGAUGUCGACGCCAUCCCAAAGCGGCGCCCCAGGCCAAAGCCCUUGGUGGAAUCGUAAGUAUCCGACGACACCAUACACAUAUCCAAUUUUAUGCCGUAUUAUUUUAACAUACUGAAUUGCGUAUUAUAGCCCGGCUCGCACUCUCCCCCAACGAUCACCAUCAUCUGGGAACUCGCUAGGGACGAACAUGAUGGAGAGCGAGUCGCCUCCGUAGACCUCUCCACCCACUGGCAUGGAUAACACUGAAGUGUUGUCCCAAAGAACCUCUCCAGGCCAUGGGGAGGUACAGGAGGCCGUGAAGGUGGAGCCACAGUGUAAUACCUCUAUUGUCGAAGAGAGGGGGAAAUCAACUCCCAUGGAGACUGGCGAUGGGGGCAACGCUCAAUUCGUCCCUCAACCAAAUAUUAUUCCGGAGACCCAUACGGCUCCAGAAUCGGACCAGCAGCCUCCUUCGAAGAAAGGGUGCGGGCCGUCUCCACCAGCGUCCUCUACCUAUCCGGAGGCGUCGGACACUCUGGUGGAAGUGCUUCAAAGUGCUUCCAUUGUGGAGGAACACCGUACCCAUACGGUGGUUGAAAAGUUUGGUUCCGCUAAGAGAAGAUUGAACCAAGCCUAUACCAGCCUUUUAACAGGCUUUGAGGUAUGUGAAAGGAAAACCUGUAUAUAGAUAGUAGCCCCUGAAACUCUGUUCGGCGUUUGAGAAGAAAGGCCGAACAGAGGAUCGAAUAAUGCUUUGCAGGAGCUAACAUAUUGUUGGGGAACAUAGCAGAAAUUCAAAAUUUUCCUACGUAACACCAAGAUCUAUCUAUGGAGAGACCAGCAACGAGUAGAAAGAGAGUGCAUCUACAUACCCUUGUAGAUCGCUAAGCGGAAGCGUUCAAGUGAACGGGGUUGAUGGAGUCGUACUCGUCGUGAUUCAGAUCACCGAUGAUCUAGUGCCGAACGGACAGCACCUCCGCGUUCAACACACGUACAGCCCGACGAUGUCUCCCACGCCUUGAUCCAGCAAGGGGAGAGGGAGAGGUUGAGGAAGACUCCAUCCAGCAGCAGCACAACGGCGUGGUGGUGAUGGAGGAGCGUGGCAAUCCUGCAGGGCUUCGCCGAGCACCUACGGGAGAGGAGAUGUGUCACGGGAGGGAGAGGGAGGCAACCAAAGGCCUUAGGUAUGAUUGCUCCUCCUUUUCCCCACUAUAUAUAGGGCCAAGGGAGAGGGGGAGGGCGCAGCCUUGCCCCCUCCUCCAAGGAAGGGGUGCGGCUAAGGAUGGGGAGGAGUCCAUCCUCCCCAAGGCACCUCGGAGGUGCCUUCCCCUUUAAGGACUCUCCCCUUUUUCCUUUAUCUUGGCGCAUGGGCCUCUAGGGGCUGGUGCCCUUGGCCCAUGUAGGCCAAGGCGCACCCCCUACAGCCCAUGUGGCCCCCCCGGGCAGGUGGCCCCACCCGGUGGGCCCCCGGGACCCUUCCGGUGGUCCCGGUACAAUACCGAUGACCCCGAAACUUGUCCCGAUGGCCGAAACAGGACUUCCUAUAUAUAAAUCUUUACCUCCGGACCAUUCCGGAACUCCUCGUGACGUCCGGGAUCUCAUCCGGGACUCCGAACAACAUUCGGUAACCACAUACAAGCUUCCUUUAUAACCCUAGCGUCAUCGAACCUUAAGUGUGUAGACCCUACGGGUUCGGGAGACAUGCAGACAUGACCGAGACGUUCUCCGGUCAAUAACCAACAGCGGGAUCUGGAUACCCAUGUUGGCUCCCACAUGUUCCACGAUGAUCUCAUCGGAUGAACCACGAUGUCAAGGACUCAAUCGAUCCCGUAUACAAUUCCCUUUGUCUAGCGGUAUGGUACUUGCCCGAGAUUCGAUCGUCGAUAUACCGAUACCUUGUUCAAUCUCGUUACCGGCAAGUCUCUUUACUCGUUCCGUAACACAUCAUCCCGUGAUCAACCCCUUGGUCACAUUGUGCACAUUAUGAUGAUGUCCUACCGAGUGGGCCCAGAGAUACCUCUCCGUUUACACGGAGUGACAAAAUCCCAAUCUCGAUUCGUGCCAACCCAACAGACACUAUCAGAGAUACCCGUAGUGUACCUUUAUAGCCACCCAGUUACGUUGUGACGUUUGGCACACCCAAAGCACUCCUACGGUAUCCGGGAGUUGCACAACCUCAUGGUCUAAGGAAAUGAUACUUGACAUUAGAAAAGCUUUAGCAUACGAACUACAUGAUCUUGUGCUAGGCUUAGGAUUGGGUCUUGUCCAUCACAUCAUUCUCCUAAUGAUGUGAUCCCGUUAUCAACGACAUCCAAUGUCCAUGGUCAGGAAACCGUAACCAUCUAUUGAUCAACGAGCUAGUCAACUAGAGGCUUACUAGGGACAUGGUGUUGUCUAUGUAUCCACACAUGUAUCUGAGUUUCCUAUCAAUACAAUUCUAGCAUGGAUAAUAAACGAUUAUCAUGAACAAGGAAAUAUAAUAAUAAUCAAUUUAUUAUUGCCUCUAGGGCAUAUUUCCAACAGUCUCCCACUUGCACUAGAGUCAAUAAUCUAGUUCACAUCGAUAUAUGAUUAACACUCAAGGUCACAUCCCCAUGUGACUAACACCCAAACAGUUUACUAGAGUCAAUAAUCUAGUUCACAUUUACCAUGUGAUUAACACUCGAUGAGUUCUGGGUUUGAUCAUGUUAUGCUUGUGAGAGAGGUUAUAGUCAACGGGUCUGAACCUUUCAGAUCCGUGUGUGCUUUACAAAUCUCUAUGUCAUCUCCUAGAUGCAGCUACCACGUUCUAUUUGGAGCUAUUCCAAAUAACUGUUCUACUUGGAGCUAUUCUAAAUUGUUGCUCCAUUAUACGUAUCCGGUAUCUCUACUCAGAGCUAUCCGGAUAGGUGUUAAGCUUGCAUCGACGUAACCCUUUACGACGAACUCUUUUACCACCUCCAUAAUUGAGAAAAUUCCUUAGUCCACUAGUUACUAAGGAUAACUUUGACCGCUGUCCUGUGAUCCAUUCUUGGAUCACUCUUGUACCCCUUGACUGACUCAUGGUAAAGCACACUUCAUGUGCGGUACACAGCAUAGCAUACUGUAGAGCCUAUGUCUUAAGCAUAGGGGACGACCUUCGUUCCUUUCUCUCUAUUCUGCCAUGGUCGAGCUUUAAGUCUUAACUUCAUACCUUACAACUCAGGCAAGAACUCCUUCUUGACUGAUCCAUCUUGAACACCUUCAAGAUCACGUCAAGGCAUGUGCUCAUUUGAAAGAACUAUUAAGCGUUUUGAUCUAUCCUUAUAGAUCUUGAUGCUCAAUGUUCAAGUAGCUUAAUCCAGGUUUUCCAUUGAAAAACACUUUCAAAAUAACCCUAUAUGCUUUCCAGAAAUUCUACGUCAUUUCUGAUCAUUAAUAUGUCAACAACAUAUACUCACCAGAAAUUCUAUAGUGCUCCCACUCACUUCUUUGGAAAUACAAGUUUCUCAUAAACUUUGUAUACACCCAAAAUCUUUGAUCAUCAUCAAAGCAUACAUUCCAACUCCGAGAUGCUCACUCCAGUCCUCAGAAGGAUUGCUGGAGCUUUGCAUACUUAUUAGCAUAUUUCAGGAUAGACAAAACCUUCCGGUUGUAUCACAUACAACCUUUCCUCAAGAAUCAUCGAGGAAACAAUGUUUUGACAUCCUAUCUGCAAGAUUUCACAAAUAAUGCAGUAAUCGCUAAUAUAAUUUCAACAGACUCUUAGCAUCGCUACGAGUGAGAAAGUCUCAUCGUAGUCAACUCCUUGAACUUGUCGAAAAACAUCUUAACGACAAGUCAAGCUUUUUCAAUGGUGACACUUACCAUCAUUGUCUGUCUUCCUUUCAAAAUCCAUAUGUACCUAACAGCCUUACGACCAUCAAGUAGUUCUUCCAAAGUCUACACUUUGUUUUCAUACAUGGAUCCUCUCUCGGGUUUUAUGGCCUUGAGCCAUUUAUCGGAAUCCGGGCCCACCAUCGCUUCUCCAUAGCUCGUAGGUUCAUUGUUGUCUAGCAACAUGACUUCCAAGACAGGAUUACGUACCACUCUGAAGUAGUACGCAUCCUUGUCAUCCCACGAGGUUUGGGAGUGACUUGAUCUGAAGUUUCAUGAUCACUAUCAUAAGCUUCUACUUCAAUUGGUGUAGGUGCCACAGGAACAACUUCCUGUGCCCUGCUACACACUGGUUGAAGUGAUGGUUCAAUAACCAUAUCAAGUCUCCACCAUCCUCCCACUCAAAUCUUUCGAGAGAAACCUUUCCUCGAAAAAGGACCCGAUUCAAGAAACAAUCCGUAUUGCUUUCGGAUCUGAAUUAGGAGGUAUACCCAACUGUUUUUGGGUGUCCUAUGAAGAUGCAUUUAUCCGCUUUGGGUUCGAGCUUAUCAGCCUGAAACCUUUCCACAUAAGCAUCGCAGCCCCAAACUUCUAAGAAAUGACAGCUUAGGUUUCUCUAAACCAUAAUUCAUAUGGUGUCAUCUCAACGGAAUUACGUGGUGCCCUAUUUAAAGUGAAUGUGGUUGUCUCUAAUGCCUAACCCAUGAACGAUAGUGGUAACUCGAUAAGAGACAUCAUGGUAUGCACCAUAUCCAAUAGGGUGCAACUAUGACAUUUGGACACACCAUCACACUAUGGUGUUCCAGGCUGUAUCAGUUGUGAAACAAUUUCCACAAUGUCUUAAUUCUGUGCCAAACUCGUGAUUUAGAUAUUCAUCUCUAUGAUCAUAUCAUAGAUCUUUUAUCCUCUUGUCACGACGAUCUUUCAACUUCACACUGAAAUUACUUGAAUCUUUCAAUAAUUCAGACUCGUGAUUCAUCAAGUAAAUAUACUCAACAUCCACUCGAAUCAUCUGUGAAGUAAGAACAUAACGAUAUUCACUGCAUGCCUCAGCACUCAUUGGACUGCACACAUCAAAAUGUGUUACUUCCAACAAGUUGCUAUCUUGUUCCAUCUUACUGAAAACGAGGCUUUUCAGUCAUCUUGCCCAUGUGGUAUGAUUAGCAUGUCCCAAGUGAUUCAAAAUCAAGUGAGUCAAAACGGUCCAUUUGCAUGGAGUUUCUUCAUGCAUAUACACCAAUAGACAUGGUUCACAUGUCUCAAACUUUUCAAAAACGAGUGAGUCCAAAGAUCCAUCAAUAUGGAGCUUCUUCAUGCGUUUUAUACCGAUAUGACUUACGUGGCAGUGCCACAAGUAGGUGGUACUAUCAUUACUAUCUUUUGGCAUGAACAUGUGUAUCACUACGAUCGAGAUUUAAUAAACCAUUCAUUGAAGGUAUUAUUCAAAUAAAUAGAGUAACCAUUAUUCUCCUUAAAUGAAUAACCGUAUUGCGAUAGACGUAAUCCAAUCAUGUCUAUGCUCAACGCAAACACCAAAUAACAAUUAUUUAGGUUUAACACCAAUCUCUUUGGUAGAGGGAGCGUGCGAUGCUUGAUCAUAUCAAGCUUGGAAAAACUUCCAACAUAUAUCGUCAGCUCACCUUUAGCUAGUCUCCGUUUAUUCAGUAGCCUUUUGUUUCGAGUUACUAACACUUAGCAACCGAACCGGUAUCUAAUACCCUGGUGCUACUAGGAGUACUAGCAAAGUACACAUUAACACAAUGUAUAUCCAAUAUACUUCUAUCGACCUUGCCAGCCUUCUUAUCUACCAAGUAUCUAGGGUAAUUCUGCUCUAGUGGUUGUUCCCCUUAUUACAGAAGCACUUAGUCUCGGGUUUGGGUUUUACCUUGGGUUUCUUCACUAGAGCAGCAGCUGAUUUGCCGUUUCAUGAAGUAUCCCUUCAUGCCCUUGCCCUUCUUGAAACUAGUGGUUUCACCAACCAUCAACAAUUGAUGCUCCUUCUUGAUUUCUACUUUCGCGGUGUCAAACAUCGCGAAUACCUCAAGGAUCAUCAUAUCUAUCCUUGAUAUGUUAUAGUUCAUCACGAAGCUCUAACAGCUUGGUGGCAAUGACUUUGGAGAACCAUCACUGUCUUAUCUGGAAGAUCAACUCCCACUCGAUUCAAAUGAUUGUUGUACUCAGACAAUCUGAGCACAAGCUCAACAAUUGAGCUUUUCUCCUUAGUUUGCAGGUUUAAGAAAGUCAUCGGAGGUCUUAUACCUCUUGACAUGGGCACGAGCCUGAAAUCCCAAUUUCAGCCCUCAAACAUCUCAUAUGUUUCGCGACGUUUCAAAAAUGUCUUUGGUGCCUCAACUCUAAACCGUUUAACUGAACUAUCACGUAGUUAUCAAAACGUGUACAAACGACGUUUGGGGUUCAGCACACUGAGCGGUGCAUUAAGGACAUAAGCCUUCUAUGAAGCAAUGAGGACAAUCCUCAGUUUACGGACCUAGUCCGCAUAAUUGCUACUAUCAAUUUUCAACUAUUUUUUCUCUAGGAACAUAUCCAAACAGUAGAACUACAGCGCGAGCUACGACAUAAUUUGCAAAAACCUUUUGACUAUGUUCAGGAUAAUUAAGUUCAUCUUAUGAACUCCCACUCAGAUAGACAUCCCUCUAGUCAUCUAAGUGAUUACAUGAUCCGAGUCAAACUAGGCCGUGUCCGAUCAUCACGUGAGACGGACUAGUCAUCAUCGGUGAACAUCUUCAUGUUGAUCGUAUCUUCUAUACGACUCAUGUUCGACCUUUCGGUCUCCGUGUUCCGAGGCCAUGUCUGUACAUGCUAGGCUCGUCAAGUUAACCCUAAGUGUUUUGCAUGUGUUCCGAGGCCAUGUCUGUACAUGCUAGGCUCGUCAACACCCGUUGUAUUUGAACGUCUGAAUGAAACACCCGAUCAUCACGUGAUGUUUUGAAACAGCGAACUGUCGCAAGGUGCAUAGUUAGGGGAGAACACUUCUUGAAAUUGUUGUAAGGGAUCAUCUUAUUUACUACCGUCGUUCUAAGCAAAUAAGAUGUAUAAACAUGAUAAACAUCACAUGCAAUCAAAUAGUGACAUGAUAUGGCCAUCAUCACUUUGCUCCUUUUGAUCUCCAUCUUCGGGGCUCCAUGAUCAUCAUCGUCACCGGCAUGACACCAUGAUCUCCAUCAUCAUGAUCUCCAUCAUCGUGUCUUCAUGAAGUUGCCUCGCCAACUAUUACUUCUACUACUAUGGCUAACGGUUAGCAAUAAAGUAAAGUAAUUACAUGACGUUUAAGUUGACACGCAGGUCACAAAUAAAUAAAGACAACUCCUAUGGCUCCUGCCGGUUGUCAUACUCAUCGACAUGCAAGUCGUGAUUCCUAUUACAAGAACAUGAUCAAUCUCAUACAUCACAUAUAUCAUUCAUCACAUCCUUUUUGGCCAUAUCAUAUCACAUAGCAUACCCUGCAAAAACAAGUUAGACGUCCUCUAAUUGUUGUUUGCAUGUUUUACGUGGCUGCUAUGGGUUUCUAGCAAGAACGUUUCUUACCUACGCAUGAACCACAACGUGAUAUGCCAAUUGCUAUUUACCCUUCAUAAGGACCCUUUUCAUCGAAUCCGAUCCGACUAAAGUGGGAGAGACAGACACCCGCCAGCCACCUUAUGCAACUAGUGCAUGUUUGUCGGUGGAACCGGUCUCACGUAAGCGUACGUGUAAGGUUGGUCCGGGCCGCUUCAUCCCACGAUGCCGCCGAAUCAAGAUAAGACUAGUAACGGCAAGCAUAUUGAACAAUAUCGACGCCCACAACUACUUUGUGUUCUACUCAUGCAAAGAAUCUACGCAAUAGACCUAGCUCAUGAUGCCACUGUUGGGGAACGUAGCAGAAAUUCAAAAAAAUUCCUACGUAACACCAAGAUCUAUCUAUGGAGAGACCAGCAACGAGUAGAAAGGGGAGUGCAUCUACAUACCCUUGUAGAUCGCUAAGCGGAAGCGUUCAAGUGAACGGGGUUGAUGGAGUCGUACUCGUCGUGAUUCAGAUCACCGAUGAUCCUAGUGCCGAACGGACAGCACCUCCGCGUUCAACACACGUACAGCUCGACGAUGUCUCCCACGCCUUGAUCCAGCAAGGAGAGAGGGAGAGGUUGAGGAAGACUCCAUCCAGCAGCAGCACAACGGCGUGGUGGUGAUGGAGGAGCGUGGCAAUCCUGCAGGGCUUCGCCAAGCACCUACGGGAGAGGAGGAGGUGUCACGGGAGGGAGGGAGGCGCCAAGGGCUCAGGUAUGGAUGCCCUUAACUUCGUACCUUACAACUCAGGCAAGAACUCCUUUUUUGACUGAUCCAUCUUGAACACCUUCAAGAUCACGUCAAGGCAUGUGCUCAUUUGAAAGUACCAUUAAGCGUUUUGAUCUAUCCUUAUAGAUCUUGAUGCUCAAUGUUCAAGUAGCUUAAUCCAGGUUUUCCAUUGAAAACACUUUCCAAAUAACCCUAUAUGCUUUCCAGAAAUUCUACGUCAUUUCUGAUCAUUAAUAUGUCAACAACAUAUACUCAUCAGAAAUUCUAUAGUGCUCCCACUCACUUCUUUGGAAAUACAAGUUUCUCAUAAACUUUGUAUACACCCAAAAUCUUUGAUCAUCAUCAAGCAUACAUUCCAACUCCGAGAUGCUCACUCCAGUCCUCAGAAGGAUUGCUGGAGCUUUGCAUACUUAUUAGCAUAUUUCAGGAUAGACAAAACCUUCCGGUUGUAUCACAUACAACCUUUCCUCAAGAAUCAUCGAGGAAACAAUGUUUUGACAUCCUAUCUGCAAGAUUUCAUAAAUAAUGCAGUAAUUGCUAAUAUAAUUCCAACAGACUCUUAGCAUCGCUACGAGUGAGAAAGUCUCAUCGUAGUCAACUCCUUGAACUUGUCGAAAAACAUCUUAACGACAAGUCGAGCUUUCUCAAUGGUGACACUUACCAUCAUUGUCUGUCUUCCUUUCAAAAUCCAUAUGUACCUAACAGCCUUACGACCAUCAAGUAGUUCUUCCAAAGUCUACACUUUGUUUUCAUACAUGGAUCCUCUCUCGGGUUUUAUGGCCUUGAGCCAUUUAUCGGAAUCCGGGCCCACCAUCGCUUCUCCAUAGCUCAUAGGUUCAUUGUUGUCUAGCAACAUGACUUCCAAGACAGGAUUACGUACCACUCUGAAGUAGUACGCAUCCUUGUCAUCCCACGAGGUUUGGUAGUGACUUGAUCCGAAGUUUCAUGAUCACUAUCAUAAGCUUCCACUUCUGUUGGUGUACGUGCCACAGGAACAACUUCCUGUGCCCUGCUACACACUUGUUGAAGUGACGGUUCAAUAACCUCAUCAAGUCUCCACCAUCCUCCCACUCAACUUUUCGAGAGAAACCUUUCCUCGAAAAAGGACCCGAUUCAAGAAACAAUCCCUAUUGCUUUCGGAUCUGAAUUAGGAGGUAUACCCAACUAUUUUUGGGUGUCCUAUGAAGAUGCAUUUUAUCUGCUUUGGGUUCGAGCUUAUCAACCUGAAACCUUUUCACAUAAGCGUCGCAGCCCCAAACCUUUAAGAAACGACAACUUAGGUUUCUCUAAACGGUGUCGUCUCAACGGAAUUACGUGGUGCCCUAUUUAAAGUGAAUGUGGUUGUCUCUAAUGCCUAACCCAUAAACUAUAGUGGUACUUCGAUAAGAGACAUCAUGGUAUGCAUCAUAUCCAAUAGGGUGCAACUAUGAUGUUCGGACUCACCAUCACACUAUGGUGUUCCAGGCUGUAUUAGUUGUGAAACUAUUUCCACAAUGUCUUAAUUCUGUGCCAAACUCGUAAUUCAGAUAUUCAUCUCUAUGAUCAUAUCAUAGAUAUUUUAUCCUCUUGUCACGACGAUCUUUCAACUUCACCCUGAAAUUACUUGAACCUUUCAAUAAUUCAGACUCGUGAUUCAUCAAGUAAAUAUACUCAACAUCUACUCAAAUUAUCUGUGAAGUAAGAACAUAACAAUAUCCACUACAUGCCUCAGCACUCAUUGGACUGUACACAUCAAAAUGUAUUACUUCCAACAAGUUGCUAUCUUGUUCCAUCUUACUGAAAACGAGGCUUUUCAGUCAUCUUGCCCGUGUGGUAUGAUUUGCAUGUCCCAAGUGAUUCAAAAUCAAGUGAGUCAAAAUGGUCCAUUUGCAUGGAGUUUCUUCAUGCAUAUACACCAAUAGACAUGGUUCGCAUGUCUCAAACUUUUCAAAAACGAGUGAGCCCAAAGAUCCAUCAUUAUGGAGCUUCUUCAUGCGUUUUAUACCGAUAUGACUUACGUGGCAGUGCCACAAGUAGGUGGUACUAUCAUUACUAUCUUAUAUCUUUUGGCAUGAAAAUGUGUAUCCCUACGAUCAAAAUUCAAUAAACCAUUCCUUUAGGUGCAAGAGCACUUAUUCAGGUUUAAUACUAAUCUUGAUGGUAGAGGGAGCGUGCGAUGUUAGAUCACAUCAAACUUGGAAACACUUCCAACACAUAUCGUCAGCUCACCUUUAGCUAGUCUCCGUUUUAUUCCGUAGCCUUUUGUUUCGAGUUACUAACACUUAGCAACCGAACCGGUAUCUAAUACCCUGGUGCUACUAGGAGUACUAGUAAAGUACACAUUAACAUAAUGUAUAUCCAAUAUACUUCUAUCGACCUUGCCAGCCUUCUUAUCUACCAAGUAUCUAGGGUAAUUCUGCUCUAGUGGUUGUUCCCCUUAUUACAGAAGCACUUAGUCUUGGGUUUGGGUUUUACCUUGGGUUUCUUCACUAGAGCAGCAGCUGAUUUGCCGUUUCAUGAAGUAUCCCUUCUUGCCCUUGCCCUUCUUGAAACUAGUGGUUUCACCAACCAUCAACAAUUGAUGCUCCUUCUUGAUUUCUACUUUCGCGGUGUCAAACAUUGCGAAUACCUCAAGGAUCAUCAUAUCUAUCCCUGAUAUGUUAUAGUUCAUCACGAAGCUCUAACAGCUUGGUGGCAAUGACUUUGGAGAACCAUCACUGUCUUAUCUGGAAGAUCAACUCCCACUCGAUUCAAGCGAUUGUUGUACUCAGACAAUCUGAGCACAAGCACAACAAUUGAGCUUUUCUCCUUAGUUUGCAGGUUAAGAAAGUCAUCGGAGGUCCUAUACCUCUUGACAUGGGCACGAGCCUGAAAUCCCAAUUUCAGCCCUCAAAACAUCUCAUAUGUUUCGCGAUGUUUCAAAAACGUCUUUGGUGCCUCAACUCUAAACCGUUUAACUGAACUAUCACGUAGUUAUCAAAACGUGUAUGUCAGAUGUUCGCAACAACCACAGACAACGUUCGAGGUUCAGCACACUGAGCGGUGCAUUAAGGACAUAAGCCUUCUAUGAAGCAAUGAGGACAAUCCUCAGUUUACGGACCUAGUCCGCAUAAUUGCUACUAUCAACUUUCAACUAAUUUUUCUCUAGGAACAUAUCUAAACAGUAGAACUAUAGCGUGAGCUACGACAUAAUUUGCAAAAACCUUUUGAUUAUGUUCAGGAUAAUUAAGUUCAUCUUAUGAACUCCCACUCAGAUAGACAUCCCUCUAGUCAUCUAAGUGAUUACAUGAUCCGAGUCAAACUAGGCCGUGUCCGAUCAUCACGUGAGACGGACUAGUCAUCAUCGGUGAACAUCUUCAUGUUGAUCGUAUCUUCUAUACGACUCAUGUUCGACCUUUCGGUCUCCGUGUUCCGAGGCCAUGUCUGUACAUGCUAGGCUCGUCAAGUUAACCCUAAGUGUUUUGCAUGUGUUCCGAGGCCAUGUCUGUACAUGCUAGGCUCGUCAACACCCGUUGUAUUUGAACGUUAGAAUCUAACACCCGAUCAUCACGUGGUGCUUCGAAACACGAACUGUCGCAACGGUGCACAGUUAGGGGAGAACACUUCUUGAAAUUGUUGUAAGGGAUCAUCUUAUUUACUACCGUCGUUCUAAGCAAAUAAGAUGUAUAAACAUGAUAAACAUCACAUGCAAUCAAAUAGUGACAUGAUAUGGCCAUCAUCACUUUGCUCCUUUUGAUCUCCAUCUUCGGGGCUCCAUGAUCAUCAUCGUCACCGGCAUGACACCAUGAUCUCCAUCAUCAUGAUCUCCAUCAUCGUGUCUUCAUGAAGUUGCCUCGCCAACUAUUACUUCUACUACUAUGGCUAACGGUUAGCAAUAAAGUAAAGUAAUUACAUGACGUUUAAGUUGACACGCAGGUCACAAAUAAAUAAAGACAACUCCUAUGGCUCCUGCCGGUUGUCAUACUCAUCGACAUGCAAGUCGUAAUUCCUAUUACAAGAACAUGAUCAAUCUCAUACAUCACAUAUAUCAUUCAUCACAUCCUUUUUGGCCAUAUCACAUCACAUAGCAUACCCUGCAAAAACAAGUUAGACGUCCUCUAAUUGUUGUUUGCAUGUUUUACGUGGCUGCUAUGGGUUUCUAGCAAGAACGUUUCUUACCUACGCAUGAACCACAACGUGAUAUGCCAAUUGCUAUUUACCCUUCAUAAGGACCCUUUUCAUCGAAUCCGAUCCGACUAAAGUGGGAGAGACAGACACCCGCCAGCCACCUUAUGCAACUAGUGCAUGUUUGUCGGUGGAACCGGUCUCACGUAAGCGUACGUGUAAGGUUGGUCCGGGCCGCUUCAUCCCACGAUGCCGCCGAAUCAAGAUAAGACUAGUAACGGCAAGCAUAUUGAACAAUAUCGACGCCCACAACUACUUUGUGUUCUACUCGUGCAAAGAAUCUACGCAAUAGACCUAGCUCAUGAUGCCACUGUUGGGGAACGUAGCAGAAAUUCAAAAUUUUCCUACGUAACACCAAGAUCUAUCUAUGGAGAGACCAGCAACGAGUAGAAAGAGAGUGCAUCUACAUACCCUUGUAGAUCGCUAAGCGGAAGCGUUCAAGUGAACGGGGUUGAUGGAGUCGUACUCGUCGUGAUUCAGAUCACUGAUGAUCUAGUGCCGAACGGACAGCACCUCCGCGUUCAACACACGUACAGCCCGACGAUGUCUCCCACGCCUUGAUCCAGCAAGGGGAGAGGGAGAGGUUGAGGAAGACUCCAUCCAGCAGCAGCACAACGGCGUGGUGGUGAUGGAGGAGCGUGGCAAUCCUGCAGGGCUUCGCCGAGCACCUACGGGAGAGGAGAUGUGUCACGGGAGGGAGAGGGAGGCAACCAAAGGCCUUAGGUAUGAUUGCUCCUCCUUUUCCCCACUAUAUAUAGGGCCAAGGGAGAGGGGGAGGGCGCAGCCUUGCCCCCUCCUCCAAGGAAGGGGUGCGGCUAAGGAUGGGGAGGAGUCCAUCCUCCCCAAGGCACCUCGGAGGUGCCUUCCCCUUUAAGGACUCUCCCCUUUUUCCUUUAUCUUGGCGCAUGGGCCUCUAGGGGCUGGUGCCCUUGGCCCAUGUAGGCCAAGGCGCACCCCCUACAGCCCAUGUGGCCCCCCCGGGCAGGUGGCCCCACCCGGUGGGCCCCCGGGACCCUUCCGGUGGUCCCGGUACAAUACCGAUGACCCCGAAACUUGUCCCGAUGGCCGAAACAGGACUUCCUAUAUAUAAAUCUUUACCUCCGGACCAUUCCGGAACUCCUCGUGACGUCCGGGAUCUCAUCCGGGACUCCGAACAACAUUCGGUAACCACAUACAAGCUUCCUUUAUAACCCUAGCGUCAUCGAACCUUAAGUGUGUAGACCCUACGGGUUCGGGAGACAUGCAGACAUGACCGAGACGUUCUCCGGUCAAUAACCAACAGCGGGAUCUGGAUACCCAUGUUGGCUCCCACAUGUUCCACGAUGAUCUCAUCGGAUGAACCACGAUGUCAAGGACUCAAUCGAUCCCGUAUACAAUUCCCUUUGUCUAGCGGUAUGGUACUUGCCCGAGAUUCGAUCGUCGAUAUACCGAUACCUUGUUCAAUCUCGUUACCGGCAAGUCUCUUUACUCGUUCCGUAACACAUCAUCCCGUGAUCAACCCCUUGGUCACAUUGUGCACAUUAUGAUGAUGUCCUACCGAGUGGGCCCAGAGAUACCUCUCCGUUUACACGGAGUGACAAAAUCCCAAUCUCGAUUCGUGCCAACCCAACAGACACUAUCAGAGAUACCCGUAGUGUACCUUUAUAGCCACCCAGUUACGUUGUGACGUUUGGCACACCCAAAGCACUCCUACGGUAUCCGGGAGUUGCACAACCUCAUGGUCUAAGGAAAUGAUACUUGACAUUAGAAAAGCUUUAGCAUACGAACUACAUGAUCUUGUGCUAGGCUUAGGAUUGGGUCUUGUCCAUCACAUCAUUCUCCUAAUGAUGUGAUCCCGUUAUCAACGACAUCCAAUGUCCAUGGUCAGGAAACCGUAACCAUCUAUUGAUCAACGAGCUAGUCAACUAGAGGCUUACUAGGGACAUGGUGUUGUCUAUGUAUCCACACAUGUAUCUGAGUUUCCUAUCAAUACAAUUCUAGCAUGGAUAAUAAACGAUUAUCAUGAACAAGGAAAUAUAAUAAUAAUCAAUUUAUUAUUGCCUCUAGGGCAUAUUUCCAACACAUAUAUGUUUAUUUUUAUGCACGGGCUUCGAUGCAAGCGGCAACCUCGCAUGCCACUGAACUGUCCGAACUAAAGCGGCAGUUGGAGGAAAAGCAGGGUAUGUGAUGCAAAAACUUAUCUUUAAAUGACAAGAGUUCUAGUUUAUUAUCUAACUAAACUUUAUGAUUAUGCUCAUAGCGGACACGUCUGAGGUCGAAGCCCUCAAGAGUGCGCUGGCUGAGGCCAAAAAGGAGGCGGACGAGGAACGAGCCGCCCGACAAAAGCAUGAGGCGAGGUUGGAUGAAGUCCAACAAGAGCUCGCUGAUGCUAUAAGCAAAUGUGAGUCCUUGGAGCGUAAGGUGUCGUAUCAAGAGUCCGAACUUGCUACGGCGCUCCAAAGUGCAAAGGAGGCCCGAAUUGAAGCCCAAGGCGCCUGUCAGGAGAUCCGAGAGGCCAAGCAGAUCGCAGCGGGUAAGGCAUUUAACGUGCAGAGCAAAAUUAUAAGGAGAAAGUAUACCUUACUGACACGCAUUUGGAGUUCUCCAGGAGCCUUUCCGGAUCUACCCCAAAGUGUUGCUGAUGCUGCAGAUUUCUUUUGGGCCAAAGAGGGAAGCUCAACAGAGAAGCUAUUUGGUCGUAGUACCUUGCGCUAGAGCAUCCUGUGACCCUCAGUGAUCAACUGAAACAACUGACCGAGCUACAUAGGGUGGCCGGACUAGCCAUGAAGGAUGCCAUAGUCUGUCUUUAGCCAACCGACCCCAUACCUAAUAGCUACUUUGGACUUGUGAAGCGGCUGGUCGAAGCAUGCCCACGGCUUGAUGCUGUAAAGCGGUCGGCCUGUAUCAAAGGUGCACAGAUGGCCUUUGCCCGUGUCAAGGUGCAGUGGGCGAAGAUGAAUGCCACCAGUCUUGCAACCGAAGGACCGCCCGCAGGGAAGGAGCAUUGUACGCCGGAGAAAUAUUUCAACGACGUCCUGGAAGGCUCCCAUAUUAUAGAGGGACUGUGUUCGAAGGACGUCAUGUUUGAAUGAAUGUAUCUGUGCUGCCCAAGCUUUGUAUAAUGAAAACAAGGUGUUUAUAUAAUUUUAGUCUUGUUUUAUCUGAAUUUAUUUAUCCUCUGUUGCGGCCGUUUAUUGAAUCUGAGAGUUGGCAGUCGUCGGCUUUAGUCCCUCGCGUAGAUACUACGGGGGCGUUCGGAACAACACAAAAACACACUUGACCCAACGACUUGGUCCUUGAAGGAGGUGCUAGUGCGGCGAACCAGGAAAUCAGACUAUGCAGCUUUAUUACUCUCACUUAGCCAUAGCAGUUUGACAAUAAGAUUGUAGGCGCAACCCCUGGUAUUGUUCGGUGAUCCGAACUCGGGUGUUGUAGACACCUGACUAGAUAAAAACCAGUCCUUCGUGCGACACGAAAAAAAUCACAAAAGAUUUAUACUGAGUCAGCGAAUAGCUGACCAGCUCUCGCCGCAUCAUGACAGUCAGUUUUCGGCUUUCUCUACUGAGGUGUUUAUCCGGCUAACCAGAAACACAAUCGUAGUAGUUCUCCCUUUACUUCCUUAGUCGAACAAUCAGAACGUAAGGUAGCAACCACAGGAGCCGGGAAACCCAACUAUUGACCCAAGACAUGAUUCGGAGCCGAUGCAUAUAAUGCUAGAUUCGGGACACCGAAUUGCACUUGUGAAAGUGUUCGGACUUAUGGUAAAUUUAAGAAAUGUACGCGGCUGAUGGAGCCCCUGGCGAUUUAGGUCGUGCCGAGGUGUACAUGACAACCAGAUGAUAAAGAAGAAGAAAUACGGGUAAGCCAGUACCAAAUAGUUUUGGGCGAAAAACUGUUUCCAUUAUAGUCUGAUUGAUACGUCAAAAUGUAUUUAUACAAAUAAUGUUGUAAGCAUCAAGGCUAUUUUACAUGCCGAGCUAAAAGGAAAGUUGUGUACAAGUAUUAGAAAAGGGGAGGAGGUGAUCUUAAAAGAUUCUUUAGGUACUCCGCCGUACAUCUACGCUGCUUUUCGCCUCGGGGGUGAUCCUUUGAGAGGAUUAAUAAAUAAGUUUUCGUAAGGAGCCGGAAAAAGGGCCCUUGACACCAUAGAAAGGGUGAUGUGGGUUGUAAAGAACAUGAAAAGAAUAGAUGAAUUUAAGAAAAAGAUAGAUGGGGGUCCAGGUACGGUUGAGCCGUAUUGUGGACUUUAUCCUUGAUAUGCCUCCAUCAUCGCCCAUGGUAUUUUUAGUGCAUAGUUAUGAGCACGCGUGCAUACGCCGCUACUUGAUUGGGGCAAAGACGAAGGCCGGCUUGCUAAUCGAGCUCCUGACGGGCUGUACUAUCAUUCUGCGGGGUAGUCCGGACUCGUUUGACAGGGUCUGGUGGCUUGACUGCCGAUGUGGAGUUUGGCUUGAUAAGGCCGAUCUGCGCUUCUGCUGUGAGGGCCGCAGUGUGUUCCUCUGUACGGAGGGAGCGAUCCAUGUUUCCAUGGACUGUUAUAACACCACGUGGUCCUGGCAUUUUGAGUUUUAAGUAAGCAUAGUGCGGGACCGCAUUAAAGCGGGCAAACGUAGUUCGUCCGAGUAGUGCGUGAUAGCCACUGCAGAAAGGGACAAUGUCGAAGAUCAAGUCUUUGCUUUGGAAGUUGUGCUGCAAACCGAAUACGACCUCCAAUGUGAUUGAGCCCGUGCAGCGGGCCUCGACACCAUGUAUUACUCCUUUAAAGGAAGUUUUGGUGGGCUUGAUCUUGAUGAGUCAAUACCCAUUCUCUGGAUUGCGUCCUGAUAGAGCAGGUUAAGACUGCUGCCGCCGUCCAUGAGGACUCUCGUGAGGUGAAAUCCAUCGAUGAUUGGGUCGAGGACCAAUGCGGCUGAACCUCCAUGAUGUAUACUGGUCGGAUGGUCCCUUCGAUGAAAAGUGAUCGAGCAUGCUGACCAUGGGUUGAAUUUUGGGGCGACUGGCUCUAUCGCAUAGACGUCCCUUAACGCGUGCUUGUGCUCCCUUUUGGGGAUGUGAGUAGCGUAUAUCAUGUUCACCGUCUUGAUUUUGUGGGGAAAUUUCUUCUGUCCCCCUGUGUUUGGUGGGCGAGGCUCCUCAUCAUCGUCCUCGCUGGGCGACCCUUUCCCCGUGUGUUCGGUCUUUAACUUAUCGACUUGUUUAAAGACCCAACAACUUCUGUUGGUAUGAUUAGCAGGCUUGUCAGGGGUGCCAUGAAUCUGGCAAGGUCGAUCAAGUAUUCGGUCCAGGCUAGAUGAACCGUAUUUAUUUCUUUUGAAUGGCCUCUUCCGCUGACCGGGCUUGGAGCCACUGAAUCCGGUGUUGACCGCCGUGUCUUCGGCAUUGUUAGUGUUGCUCUGAUGCUUGUUUUUGUUGCGUCGAGGCCUGCCGUUUCUGUUCCUAGCUUCGUAAGUGCCAGGAUCGCUGGUACUGUUGCUGCUACGGGCAAGACAACUAUCUUCACCUGCGCAAAAGCGGGUCAUAAGUGAUGUGAGGGCUGCCAUGGACUUUGGUUUUUCUUGGCCAAGGUGUCGGGCAAGCCAUUCAUCGCGGAUGUUGUGUUUAAAGGUUGUUAGAGCCUUGGUGUCCGGACAGUCAACAAUUUGGUUCUUUUUUAUUAGGAACAGGGUCCAAAAUUUUCUAGCUGACUGUCCGGGCAGUUGGACUAUGUGACUGAGGUCAUCGGCGUCUGGAGGUCGGAUAUAAGUGCCUUGGAAGUUGUCUCUAAAGGUGUCCUCCAGGUCUUCCCAGCUUCCAAUAGAGUUUUCUGGGAGGCUAUUUAACCAGUGUCGAUCUGGUCCCUUAAGUUUGAGAGGGAGGUAUUUGAUGGCAUGUAGAUCAUCACUGCAAGUCAUGUGAAUGUGGAGAAGAAAAUCUUCAAUCCAUACUACGGGAUUUGUUGUGCCGUCGUAUGAUUCGAUAUUCACGGGUUUAAAACCUUUUGGGAACUCGUGCUUCAUGACCUCAUCAGCAUAGGGGGUGUGCGGUGCCUCUAUAUCGGGCCACGUCCCAACGCAGUUCGGAUGGAGUCCGUAUGCGAUUUUCAGCCCUGGUGAGGUUGUGCUUGUCGCGCCAGGCUUGAUGGUCAUCUUCUCGCGCUGGGGCUCGCCCCCUUGAUCCAUAUAUUGAUCUAGUCUGACUGGCUCGAUUAUCCAAGUCCUGACGUAGGUCGUAAGUGUAUCCUGCAGCUGUUGUCUCUCUACCUUUACGGCGGGGUGGUGUAGGCGGGUGUUUGGCUUGAGUUGCCACUCUGUCCCGGCCAUGUGGUGGUCGGUCAGGUCUGUCGCCUGCUUUACGCUUUGGCGGUGCAGGCUCUGGGGCCUCGUCGUCGAAUUGGGGUAGCAGCUUGCACUUUGGGUAACUCUUGGUUGGGCGCUUGAGUCCGUGUUCCUCGACUGCUAGGAUAUCAGUCCAUCUGUCAUUGAGCAGAUCUUGAUCAGCUUGAACCUGCUGCUACUUCCGUUUCAGGCUUCUCGCCAUGGCCAUUAGCUGGCACUUAAGUUGCUCUUGUUCGAGGGGAUCCUCUGGCAUGAUGAAUUCUUCGUCGCCAAGGCUCUCGUCCUCUUUGGAGAUCGGUACGUAGUUAAUAUCCUCCGAGCCCGUGUCCUUGAUAGAAUCGUCGGUGUUGACUUGCCCAUCCUCCAAAUCAUCAUGUUCGGAUGUUUGUUUGAUAGGGGCUUCUUGGUCUUCGGUGUUCUCCGGAGUAUUAUUGUCUCCAGUGCUGGUAUUGUUGUCUUUGUCGCGACGCGAUUUUGAGCGGCCCCGAUGACGUCGGCGUUUUGGUGGUGCCUCAGAAGGCUUGUCCUCGUCUGUAUCCUUCCCACCAUUGUCGUCAUCCUCUUUAGGUGUGUCCACCAUGUACACGUCAUAUGUGGAAGUAGCCGUCCAGCAUCCGGUGACCGGCGGGUUCUAGCUUUGCUUGUCUCCGGCAUCGUCGUUCAUACCGUCGAUGUCUUCGGAGUCAUAGUCGAGCAUGUCGAUUAAUUCCUCGACAGUGGCUAUGAAGUGGGUGGUGGGUGGGAUGUAAAAUUCCCUGCUCUCAGCCCCUAGUGCAGGCUGGGCAUAGUUCGACAGCGAUCCUUCUGUAAUGGCGAGGGAUCGCAUUAAGUCCAGAACCUCGUUUAAAGAUGAGGUUUGGAUAGGGAAGCGAGAAUCCGUGGAGCGAGGCAGGACAGGAGUUCCCUGGCCGAGCUUGUAUAACACAAACCUUGAGAGUUUGGAACUGGUGUGUGGAGGUGAGUUUGGCUGGAUGAGGAUAGAGGGAGCCCGGAGUUGUUGGGGAACGCAGUAAUUUCAAAAUUUUCCUACGAUCACGCAAGAUCUAUCUAGGUGAUGCAUAGCAACGAGACGGGAGAGUGUUGUCUACGUACCCUCGUAGACCGAAAGCAGAAGUGUUAUGACAACGCGGUUGAUGUAGUCGUACGUCUUCACGAUCCGACCGAUCCUAGCACCGAAGGUAUGGCACCUCCGCGAUCUGCACAAGUUCAGCUUGGUAACGUCCCACGAACUCUAGAUCCAGCUGAGGUCGAGGGAGAGUUUCAUCAGCACGACGGCAUGGUGACGAUGAUGAUGAAUUUACCAGCGCAGGGCUUCGCCUAAGCACUAUGACAAUAUGACCGAGGUGUAAAUCUGUGGAGGGGGGCACCGCACAUGGCUAAAAGAUCAACUUGAUCAACUUGUGUGUCUAUGGGGUGCCCCCUCCCCCGUAUAUAAAGGAGUGAAGGAGGGGAGGGCCGGCUCUCUAUGGCGCACCCAAGGGGGGGGGAGUCCUACUCCCAGUAGGAGUAGGUUUCCCCCCUUCCCUAGUUGGAGUAGGAGAAGAAGGAAGAGGGAGAGCGAGAGAAGGAAAGGGGGGCAGCCCCUUCCCAAUUCAGAUUGGACUUGGGGGGGCCCACCUUGGCCGCCUCCUCCUCUCUUCCACCAUGGCCCAUUAAGGCCCAUUGACUCCCCGGGGGGUUCCAGUCUCCGGAAAAAUGCCUGAACCACUCGGAACCUUUCUAGUGUCCAAACAUAGCCUUUCAAUAUAUCAAUCUUUAUGUCUCGACCAUUUCGAGACUCCUCGUCAUGUCCGUGAUCACAUCUGGGACUCCGAACAACCUUCGGUACAUUAUAUAUCACAUAAACUCAUAAUACCAAUCGUCAUCGAACGUUAAGCGCGCGAACCCUAUGGGUUCGAGAACUAUGUAGACAUGACCGAGACACGUCUCCGGUCGAUAACCAAUAGCGGAACCUGGAUGCUCAUAUUGGUUCCUACAUAUUCUACGAAGAUCUUUAUCGGUCAAACCGCAUAACAACAUACAUUGUUCCCUUUGUCAACGGUAUGUCACUUGCUCGAGAUUCGAUCGUCGGUAUCUCAAUACCUAGUUCAAUCUCGUUACCGGCAAGUCUCUUUACUCGUUUCGUAAUACUUCAUCCCGCAACUAACUCAUUAGUCACAAUGCUUGCAAGGCUUAUAGUGAUGAGUAUUACCAAGAGGGCCCAGAGAUACCUCCCCGAAACACGGAGUGCAAAUCCUAAUCUCGAUCUAUGCCAACCCAACAAACACCUUCCUAGACACCUAUAGAGCACCUUUAUAAUCACCCAUUUGCGUUGUAAUGUUUGGUAGCACACAAGUGUUCCUCCAGUAUUCGGGAGUUGCAUAAUCUCAUAGUCUGAGGAACUUGUAUAAGUCAUGAAGAAAGCAGUAGCAAUGAAACUGACACGAUCAUAAUGCUAAGCUAACGGAUGGGUCAUGUCCAUCAACUCAUUCUCCUAAUGAUGUUAUCCCGUUCAUCAAAUGACAACACAUGUCUAUGGUUAGGAAACAUAACCAUCUUUGAUUAACGAGCUAGUCAACUAGAGGCAUACUAGGGACUAUAUGUUUUGUCUAUGUAUUCACACAUGUACUAAGUUCCGAUUAAUACAAUUCUAGCAUGAAUAAUAAACAUUUAUCAUGAAUUAAGGAAAUAAAUAAUAACUUUAUUAUUGCCUCUAGGGCAUAUUUCCUUCACUCUCCCACUUGCACUAGAGUCAAUAAUCUAGAUUACAUAGUAAUGAUUCUAACACCCAUGGAGCUUUGGUGCUGAUCAUAUUUUGCUCGUGGAAGAGGCUUGGUCAACGGGUCUGCAACAUUCAGAUCCAUGUGUAUCUUGCAAAUCUCUAUUUCCCCCUCCGACACUUGAUGACGGAUGGAAUUGCAGCGUCUCUUGAUGUGCUUGGUUCGCUUGUGAAAUUUGGAUUCCUUUCCAAGGCAAUUGCACCAGUAUUGUCACAAAAGAUUUUCAUUGGACCCGAUGCACUAGGUAUGACACUUAGAUCGGAUAUGAACUCCUUCAUCCAAACUCCUUCAUUCGUUGCUUCCGAAGCAGUAAUGCACUCCGCUUAACACGUAGAUCCCGCCAUGAUGUUUUGUUUAGAACUACACCAACUGAUAGCUCCUCCAUUCAAUAAAAAUAUGUAUCCAUUUUGUGACUUAGAGUCAUCCAGAUUAGUGUCAAAACUUGCAUCAACGUAACCGUUUACAACGAGCUCUUUUUCACCUCCAUAAACGAGAAACAUAUCCUUAGUCCUUUUCAGGUAUUUCAGGAUGUUCUUGACCACUGUCCAAUGCUCCACUCCGGGAUUACUUUGGUACCUCCCUGCUAUGGUUAUAGCAAGGCACACAUCGGGUAUGGUACACAACAUUGCAUACAUGAUAGAACCUAUGGCUGAAGCAUAGGGAAUGACUUUCAUUUUCUCUCUAUCUUCUGCAGUGGUUGGGCAUUGAGUCUGACUCAACUUCACACCUUGUAACACAGGACUGAUCCAUUUUGAACUUCUUCAAAACUUUAUCAAGGUAUGUGCUUUGUGAAAGUCCAAUUAAGCGUCUUGAUCUAUCUCUAUAGAUCUUGAUGCCCAAUAUGUAAGCAGCUUCACCGAGGUCUUUCAUGGAAAAACUCUUAUUCAGGUAUCCCUUUAUGCUAUCCAGAAAUUCUAUAUCAUUUCCAAUCAACAAUAUGUCAUCCACAUAUGCUAUCAGAAAUGCUACAGAGCUCCCACUCACUUUCUUGUAAAUACAGACUUCUCCAAAAGCCUGUAUAAAACCAUAUGCUUUGAUCACACUAUCAAAGCGUUUAUUCCAACUCCGAGAGGCUUGCACCAGUCCAUAAAUGGAUUGUUGGAGCUUGCACACUUUGUUAGCACCCUUUGGAUCGACAAAACCUUCUGGUUGCAUCAUAUACAACUCUUCUUCCAGAAAUCCAUUCAGGAAUGUAGUUUUGACAUCCAUUUGCCAAAUUUCAUAAUCAUAAAAUGCAGCAAUUGCUAACAUGAUUCAGACAGACUUAAGCAUUGCUACGGGUGAGAAAGUCUCAUUGUAGUCAACUCCUUGAACUUGUUGAAAACCUUUUGCAACAAGUCGAGCUUUGUAAACAGUAACAUUAUCGUCUGCGUCGGUCUUCUUCUUAAAGAUCCAUUUAUUUUCUAUGGCUUGCCGAUCAUCAGGCAAGUCCACCAAAGUCCACACUUUGUUCUCAUACAUGGAUCCCAUCUCAUAUUUCAUGGCCUCAAGCCAUUUCACGGAAUCUGGGCUCAUCAUCGCUUCCUCAUAGUUCGUAGGUUCAUCAUGGUCCAGUAACAUGACUUCUAGAACAGGAUUACCGUACCACUCUGGUGCGGAUCUUAUUCUAGAAGACCUACGAGGUUCGGUAGUAACUUGAUCUGAAGCUUCAUGAUCAUCAUCAUUAGCUUCCUCACUAAUUGGUGUAGGAAUCACGGGAACUGAUUUCUGUGAUGAACUACUUUCCAAUAAGGGAGAAGGCACAACUACCUCAUCAAGUUCUACUUUCCUCCCACUCACUUCUUUCGAGAGAAACUCCUUCUCUAGAAAGGAUCCAUUCUUAGCAACAAAGAUUUUGCCUUCUUAUCUGUGAUAGAAGGUGUACCCAACAGUUUCCUUUGGGUAUCCUAUGAAGACGCACUUCUCCGAUUUGGGUUCGAGCUUAUCAGGUUGAAGCUUUUUCACAUAAGCAUCGCAGCCCCAAACUUUAAGAAAUGACAACUUUGGUUUCUUGCCAAACCAUAGUUCAUAAGGUGUCAUCUCAAAGGAUUUUGAUGGUGUCCUAUUUAAAGUGAAUGCAGCCGUCUCUAAAGCAUAAACCAAAACGACAGCGGUAAAUCAAUAUGACAAAUCAUAGAUCGCACCAUAUCCAAUAAAGUACGGUUACGACGUACGGACACACCAUUUCGCUGUGGUGUUCCAGGUGGCAUUAAUUGUGAAACUAUCCCAUGUUGUUUCAAAUGAAGACCACACUCAUAACUCAAAUAUUCUCCUCCAUGAUCAGAUCAUAGAAAUUUUAUUUUCUUGUUACGAUGAUUUUCCACUUCACUCUGAAAUUCUUUGAACUUUUCAAAUGUUUUAGACUUAUGUUUCAUUAAGUAGAUAUAACCAUAUCUGCUCAAAUCAUCUGUGAAGGUAAGAAAAUAGCGAUACCCACCACGAGCCUCAAUACUCAUUGUACCGCAUACAUCGGUAUGUAUUAUUUCCAACAAGUCAGUAGCUCAUUCCAUUGUUCCGGAGAACGGAGUUUUAGUCAUCUUUCCCAUAAGGCACGGUUUGCAUGCACCAAGUGAUUCAUAAUCAAGUGAUUCCAAAAGUCCAUUAGCAUGGAGUUUCUUCAUGCGCUUUACACCGAUAUGACCCAAACGGCAGUGCCACAAAUAAGUUGCACUAUCAUUAUUAACUUUGCAUCUUUUGGCUUCCAUAUUAUGAAUAUGUGUAUCAUCACUAUCAAGAUUCAACAAAAAUAGACCACUCAGCAAAGGUGCAUGACCAUAAAAGAUAUUACUCAUAUAAAUAGAACAACCAUUAUUCUCUGAUUUAAAUGAAUAACCAUCUCGCAUUAAACAAGAUCCAGAUAUAAUGUUCAUGCUCAACGCUGGCACAAAAUAACAAUUAUUCAUGUCUAAAACUAAUCCCGAUGGUAGAUGUAGAGGUAGCGUGCCAACGACGAUCACAUCAACCUUGGAACCAUUUCCAACACGCAUCGUCUCCUCGUCCUUAGCCAAUCUUUCCUUAAUACGUAGCCCCUGUUUUGAUUGCAAAUAUGAGCAAAAGAACCAGUAUCAAAUACACAAGCGCUACUGCGAGCAUUAGUUAAGUACACAUCAAUAACAUGAAUAUCAAAUAUACCUUUCACUUUGCCAUCCUUGUUAUCCACCAAAUACUUGGGGUAUUUCCGCUUCUAGUGACCAGUCCCUUUGCAGUAGAAGCACUCAGUUUCAGGCUUAUGUCCAGACUUGGGUUUCUUCUCUUGAGCAGCACCUUUUUGAUGUUCUUCUUGAAGUUCCCCUUCUUCCCUUUGCCCUUUUUCUUGAAACUAGUGGUCUUGUUGACCAUCAACACUUGAUGCUCCUUUUUUAUUUCUACCUUCGCAGCUUUUAGCAUCACGAAGAGCUCAGGAAUUGUCUUAUCCAUCCCUUGCAUAUUAUAGUUCAUCAUGAAGCCUUUAUAGCUUGGUGGCAGUGAUUGAAGAACUCUGUCAAUGAUACAAUCAACUGGAAGAUCAACUCCUAGUUGAGUCAAGUGGUUAUGGUACCCAGACAUUUUGAGUAUGUGUUCACUGACAGAACUAUUCUCCUCCAUUUUGUAGUUGUAGAACUUGUUGGAGACUUCAUAUCUCUCAACUCGGGCAUUUGCUUGAAAUAUUAACUUCAACUCUUGCAACAUCUCAUAUGCGCCAUGACGUUCAAAACGUCUUUGAAGUCCCGAUUCUAAGACGUAAAGCAUGGCAUACUGAACUAUCGAGUAGUCACCAGCUUUGCUCUGCCAGACAUUCUUAACGUCAUCAGUAGCAUCUGCAGCAGGCCUGGCACCUAGCGGUGCUUCCAGGACGUAAUUCUUCUAUGCAGCAAUGAGGAUAAUCCUCAAGUUACACACCCAGCCCAUGUAGUUGCUGCCAUCAUAUUUCAACUUAGCUUGUUGGAAAUAUGAGCAAUUUACCAAAUGAUUUUAUUAACCAAAAUAUUAGAUAAAGCAUGACUAAUAUAACAGGGAUAAAACUAGUCAUGCAAUCUAACAGAGAGAAGGUAAAUAACAUCUGCAUAUAUGAACUGCAUCCAAGCUUAUCUAGAGCAGACAGUAGGGCAAGUUCCAUAUAUGAAGUAGAACCUAACAUAUCUAGGAUAAACACUAGAACAAGGAACUGUAGCAGGACCUCAAACAGAAAGGAGAAGAACACAUACGGGACAACAACAGCAUUAGCACUGGACUUGGGGUCGGUGUCUUUGCCAGCCAUGUCGUCGAGGAGUUCGUCGACGUCGGGGAAGUAGUCGUCGGAGUCCGGGGCAUCCGUGACGAAAAGGUCAGUAGUCGCGUUGAGCACUCCCCAAAAACCUUAUCGCCCUUCUCCCAUACAGGACUCAAAGAGGUGUUCGGAGGCCUACUGUCCCGACCUGCGAUGCACGCCGCAAGCCGAGAUGGGGAAGAAUGUAGCAGCAACGCAGUGCUCAGGAAGUUGGUGGCGAGAGAUAGAUGGUCUUUCUGAUACGUCUCUCUGGAGAGGAGCGACCUCUCUUAUAUAGGCACAGGAGAGAGAGGCGAACAGGCUGCGACGGGAGGUGAAGCAACAAAGGGAGAUGAAGCGAAUAUGCGGCAGGCGAAGAGGUGGGCCGUUCGUAUUCAAUCUCCACUACAGCAAAAAUGUUUCAGCUCCUGUGUGACCGUUUGUAUACCCAUCGUGCGUGGAAAAAAUUUAGACAUCGGCUCGGCUCAUUCCCGCAACCCGCGGCGCAUCGUGACGAGGCGUGGCAUGGCGAGGCGAGCGGCGGAGGAGGAGCGCGCGUGGAUGUCCCUCUUGUUCUCAUGCUCAUACAUGUGGGGAAAGAACCUCCCUUAUAAAGAGGUCCAACUCCCUCUAAACUAGAAAUGUGGGACUAAACUUUAGUUCCACCUCUUGCCUUGCAUGAACGGGCUGCGUGGGCCUCUAGGAUUUAUAAGGAAUUUCUGAAACUGCUAUUGGGCUGGCCCAAAAUAGACAAAAUUCCAGCAAUCCCCCACCAGAUCCCAGAGGCACACAAAAUUUGCCUUUGGUUCUAAAACACUGUUUUAUAUACCAGUACUGCAGUGGAGACUGUUAAGUUGAACUUCGACCUACAACUCUAUGCUACACUAGUAAGCAACUUGAACAGCGGACUGGGCCUUGAACUGCAAGUUUUCUGCAAAUCUAGCUUCACACAAAGCCUUGACCUAUACUGGGCUACCGUGGGUCUUCCCCGCGGGUGGAGCUUAUGCGUCAUACUCCGAGACCUUUCAUGAGUUUACUAGAGAGAAGCCUACUCUCAUAGAUUGCAACGUUUAACAAUCAGACUCAUAUAGGUGUGUUCUUCAAAAGAUGUUCUGCAUCAACCUGCCAUGCAGAUUAGGAGAGUAUUGCAUCUUCAUGGAGUGGUAUUGUUAAUAGUAAGGAUACUCUCUUCUCAGUUGACCAAACAACUUGUCUUCCACAUCUAAUUCACGGGAUCUCCGAUCACAAAGAAUAGGUUAUCACUGUGAACAACUCAUAUUGUGGGUCUCAUAUCCAUCUCACCUCGAUGCAUUAUCUAUCACAUUACGUGAUAGACCCUUAGUAAAAGGAUCUGCCAGAUUUUAAGACGUUUGGAUAUAAUCCAAUGCAAUAACUCCAGAGUUUCUCAUUUUUCUGACAGACUUUAACCUUCUCUGAACGUGUCUUGAUGACUUCAUGUUAUCCUUUGAGCUGCUCACUUUUGUGAUCACAGUCUGAUUGUCGCAGUUCAUAAGGAUACCCGGUACAGGUUUCUCAACAACCGGCAAGUCAUUCAAGAGCCGGCAAAGCCAAUCAGCUUCGACCGUAGCUGUAUCUAGUGUUGUGAGUUCUGCUUCCAUUGUUGACCUCGUUAAGAUGGUCUGCUUGCAAGACUUCCAAGAAACAGCGCCACCACCAUGAGUGAAUACAUAUCCGCUCGUGGCCUUUAUCUCAUUAGCAUCUGAAUCCAGCUUGAGUCACUAUACCCUUCAAGCACCUUUGGGUGCCCAGUGUAGUGAAUUCCAUAAUUCACAGUGCCUUUCAAAUAACGCAAAACUCUCUCUAGAUCUUUCCAAUGCACAUCUCCUGGUUUUGAGACAAACCGACUCAGUUUGCUAACAGCAAAAGAGAUGUCGGGUCUUGUAGCACUGGUUAAAUACAUAAGUGAGCCAAUAAUCUGAGAAUAUUUCAAUUGGUCUCUAGCAAUUCUUCGAUUCUUUCGAAGCAACACACUGGCAUCAUAUGGUGUUGGAGAGGGCUUGCAGUCACUGUAGCCAAAGCGACUCAAGAUCUUUUCCACACAGUGAUAUUGAAGCAAUUUAAUCCCACCAUCAUCGUCUCUCAACAACUUGAUGUUCAGAAUGACAUCGGCCACUCCUAAAUCCUUCAUCUCAAAGCAAUAAGAUAGGAAAUCCUUGACCUCCUUAAUAACCUUCAGAUUUGUUCCGAAAAUCAGAAUGUCAUCAACAUACAAGCAAAGGAUAACUCCUUCGUCCCCACCAUGGCGAUAGUACACACAUUUGUGAACUUCGUUCACAACAAAGCUUGCAGCUGUUAAACUUCUUUCAAACUUCUCAUGCCACUAUUUGGGUGCUAGCUUGAGUCCAUACAAAGACUUUAGCAACUUGUACACUUUUCCUUCCUGAUCAUCUAGUACAAACCCAUUUGGUUGUUCCAUAUAGAUUUCCUCGUCCAACUGUCCAUUUAGGAAAGCUGUCUUAACAUCCAUUUGAUGAAUGAGAAGACCAUGUGAGGCAACUAAUGAAAGUAGAACUUGAAUAGUGGUCAGUCGAGCCACAUGUGAGUAAGUAUCAAAGAAGUCUUCACCUUACUUUUGGGUAUAACCCUUAGCCACGAGCCGAGCCUUGUACUUUUCAAUAGUACCAUCAGGCCUAAGCUUCUUCUUGAAUACCCAUUUGCAUCCUAUAGGUUUGCACCCAUAAGGACGAUCAGUUAUCUCCCAAGUUUCAUUCGCCGAGAUGGAAUCCAUCUCGCUACGAACCGCUUCCUUCCAGUAGUCAGCUUCUUCAGAUGCAUAGGCCUCUGAAAUAGAACUGGGAGUGUCAUAUAUGAGAUACACAAAAAAUCAUCACCAAAAGACUUAGCGGUCCUUUGUCUCUUGCUACUAGUAGGAACUUCAUUAUUCUCCUCCACAGGAUUUUCAAAGUGUUCCAUCGAAAUGGCAGGUUUAGUAAUUGUAACUGGUUCCUGAUUCAAUGAACUAGGCAUCUCGUGAUUAGAUGAGGUAGCCAUAUCCUUCAUGGGAAAGAUAUCUUCUAAGAAAGUCGCAUCAUUUGACUCCAUGAUCGUACCGACAUGCAUGUCAGGUACCUCAGAUUUUACAACCAAGAAUCUAUAACCAAUGCUAUGAAAGGCAUAUCCCAGGAAAACACAAUCCACUGUCUUUGGUCCAAGCUUGCGCUUCUUUGGAAUUGGCACAUUAACUUUCGCCAAACAACCCCAAGUUCGUAGAUAAGAGAGCUUUAAUCUUUUCUUCUCCCAUUCCUUGAAUGGAGUUAUCUCUUUGUUCUUUGUGGGAACUCGGUUUAGGACAUGACAUGCAGUCAAUAUCGCCUCCCAACACCAUGCUUUGGAAAGACCCGAUGUGUCUAACAUGGCGUUAACCAAAUCAGUUAGAGUAUGGUUCUUUCUUUCGGCCACCCCAUUUGACUGAGGUGAAUAGGGAGGCGUCCUAUCAUGGAUUAUACCAUGUUCCUCACAAAAUGCAUCAAAUUCAUUGGAAAAAUACUCUCCACCACGGUCGGACCUAAGCCUCUUGAUUUUCCGAUCAAGUUGGUUUUCCACUUCAGCUUUAUAGAUCUUGAAAAAGUUCAAAACCUCAUCCUUAGAUUUCAGAAGAUACACAUGGCAGUAUCUAGUGGAGUCAUCAAUUAACAUCAUGAAAUAUUUCUUUCCACCUUUUGUCAAAACACCAUCCAUUUCACAUAGAUCUGAAUGUACGAGUUCUAGUGGUACAAGAUUUCUUGUUUCCGCGGUCGUGUGAGACUUACGAGGUUGCUUAGCUUGCACACACACUUGACACUUAGAUCCCUUGACAGUGGUGAAACUAGGGAUUAAGUUCAACUUCGCUAAUCGUGACAUGCAACCAAAUUAACAUGACAGAGACGUGAAUGCCACACAUUUGAUUCACUAUUAUUGCAAACAUGAUUAACAACUUUAUUGCAAAUGUCUGACAAGGAUAAACGAAAUAGGCCUCCUGACUCAUAGCCUUUACCAACAAAGGUUCCAUACUUGGAUAUUACACAUUUAUUUGACUCAAAGACAAGCUUGUAGCCAUCUCUACACAGAAGAGAUCCGCUAACAAGAUUUUUAUUGACGGAGGGGACAUAAUGCACGUUCUUCAGCCGCACGAUCUUCCCCGAAGUAAACUUCAGAUCGACCAUGCCAACACCAUGAACAGAAGCACUUGAACCAUUGCCCAUCAGCACGGUGGAAGUCCCUGUGGUCUGAUAAGACGAAAACAUGGAAAUAUCACCGCAUACAUGCACAUUAGCACCUGUGUCAAUUAACCAAUCAGGAGAAUGACAUACUGAAAGAAUAGUGGGAAAUAUACCAUACCCAGCAUCCUUCAUGUCAGUGUCUCCAAUGAUAACAUUAGCGGUCUUGCCACCUUUCCCAAGAUGACGCUUGUCAUAGCGAUUAGGGCAACUAGGAGCCCAAUGAUCAGGAUCUCCACACACAUGACAAACACCUUUCUUCUUGUCAUUCUUCUUCUUGAAGUUCGUGUGUUGUACAACCUUGUUCUUCCCAUCAAACUUGCCCUUGUUCUUGAACUUGUGAGGCUGGAAGUUUGUCUUAUACCAAAUUGGCAUUAGAACCUCCCUCGAUACCUCGAGCAUGGUUGUCCUUUGCUCUCGCCUUUUCUUCCACAUCAAGAGUACCAAUGAGAUCCAGAACGAAAAACUCCUGUCUCUUAUGCUUCAGUAAGUUAGCAAAGUUCCUCCACGUGGGAGGAAGCUUAGUGAUGAUACCUCCGGCAAUAAACUUGUCCGGUAGGAUACAAUUGAAGUGCUCAAGUUCUCUAGCAAAUGACUGUAUCUCAUGAGCUUGCUCAACCAUGGAGCGCUCCUCAGCCAUCCUGUAGUCAUAGAAUUGCUCCAUGAUGUACAACUCAGUGCCAACAUCCGAAACCCCAAACUUGGCCUCGAGUGCGUCCCACAUAUCUUUUACAUUAUCAAUUGAUGCAUAAGCAUCAACUAUGUUCUCACCAAGACCACUCAAGAGAGCAGCCUUAAACAAGGUAUCCAUUUUCUGAAAAGCUUGUGUCUGUUGAGCAUCAUGCUCUCCUUCAGGUUUGCCAAGAGUGGCGUCAUAGUAACUCAUGGUUUGAAACCAUAAGACUGCUCUCACGCGCCACCUCUUAUAGUGGAUACCCUCAAACAUAGGAGGUCUCAUGGAAGCAGCAAAACCACUUGGAGUAAAUUGCCUAUCAUAAGGUUUUUGGAUUGUUGGAAAUAUGAGCAAUUUACCAAAUGAUUUUAUUAACAGAAAUAUUAGAUAAAGCAUGACUAAUAUAACAGGGAUAAAACUAGUCAUGCGAUCUAACAGAGAGAAGGUAAAUAACAUCUGCAUAUAUGAACGUAUCCAAGCUUAUCUAGAGCAGACAGUAGGGCAAGUUUCAUAUAUGAAGUAGAAACUAACAUAUCUAGGAUAACACACCAGAACAAGGAACUGUAGCAGGACCUCGAACAGAAAGGAGAAGAACACAUACAGGACAGCAGCAGCAUUAGCACUGGACUUGGGGUCAGUGUCCUCGCCAGCCAUGUCGUCGAGGAGGUUGUCGACAUUGGGGAAGAAGUCGUCGUCGGGGAACUAGUCAUCGGAGUCCGGGGCGUCCGUGACGAAAAGGUCAGUAGUUGUGCUGAGUGCUCCCCAAAAACCUUAUCACCCUUCUCCCGUACAAGACUCAAAGAAGUGCGGUUUCGGAGGCCUACUGUCCCGACCUGCGGUGCAUGCCGCAAGCCGGGAUGGGGAAAAUGUAGCAGUAGCACAGUGCUCAGGAACUUGGUGGCGAGAGAGAGAUGGUCUUUCUGAUGUGUCUCUCUGGAGAGGAGCGACCUCUCUUAUAUAGCCACAUGAGAGAGAGGCAAACAGGCUGUAACGGGAGGUGAAGCAACAAAGGGAGACGAAGUGAACAGGCAGCAGGCAAAGAAGUGCAUCGUUCGUAUUCAAUCUCCACUACAGCAAAAACGUUUCAGCUCCCGUGUGACCAUUCGUAUACCCAUCGUGCCUGGCAAAAAUUUAGACAUCGGCUUGGCUCAUUCCUGCAACCCGCAGCGCGGCAUGACGAGGCGUGGCGUGGCGAGGCGGGCGGGGGAGGAGGAACGCGCGUGGAUGUCCCUCUUGUUCUCAUGCUCAUACAUAUGGGGAAAGAACCUCCCUUAUAAAGAGGUCCAACUCCCUCUAAACUAGCAAUGUGGGACUAAACUUUAGUUCCACCUCUUGCCUUGCACGAACGGGCUGCAUGGGCCUCUAGGAUUUAUUAGGAAUUUCUGAAACUGCUAUUGGGCUGGCCCAAAAUAGAUAAAAUUCCAGCAUAGCUUUCUCUAGGAACACAUUAAAAUUCAAAGGAACGGUAGCAUGGGCCAUUGAUCUACAACAACAUAGACAUGCAAAAUACUAUCAGGUACUAAGUUCAUGAUAAAUUAAAGUUCCAUUAAUCAUAUUACUUAAGAACUCCCACUUAGAUAGACAUCCCUCUAAUCAUCUAAGUGAGAUGGAGUAGUUUUCAAUGGUGAACAUCACUAUGUUGAUCAUAUCUACUAUAUGAUUCACGCUCGACCUUUCGGUCUCAGUGUUCCGAGGCCAUAUCUGCAUAUGCUAGGCUCGCCAAGUUUAACCUGAGUAUUCUACGUGUGCAAAACUGGCUUGCACCCCUUGUAUGUGAACGUAGAGCUUAUCACACCCGAUCAUCACAUGGUGUCUCGGCACGAUGAACUGUAGCAACGGUGCAUACUCAGGGAGAACACUUGUACCUUGAAAUUUAAUAAGGGGCCAUCUUAUAAUGCUACCGUCAUACUAAGAAAAAUAAGAUGCAUAAAUGAUAAACAUCACAUGCAAUCAAAAUAUGUGACAUGAUAUGGCCAUCAUCAUCUUGAGCUCAUGAUCUCCAUCACCGAAACAUCGUCAUGAUCUCCAUCAUCACCGGCGCGACACCUUGAUCUCCAUCGUAGCAUCGUUAUCAUCUCGCCAACUAUUGUUACUACAACUAUCGCUACCAUUUAGUGAUAAAGUAAAACAAUUACAUGGUGAUUGCAUUGCAUACAAUAAAGUGACAACCAUAUGGCUCCUGCCAGUUGCCGAUAACUUUGUUACAAAACAUGAUCAUCUCAUACAACAAUUUAUAUCUCAUCAUGCCUUGACCAUAUCACAUCACAGCAAGCCCUACAAAAACAAGUUAGACGUCCUCUACUUUGUUGUUGCAAGUUUUACGUGGCUGCUACGGGCUUAGCAAGAACCGUUCUUACCUACGCAUCAAAACCACAAUGACUUUUCGUCAAGUGUGUUGUAUUAACAUUCAACAAGGACCGGGCAUAGCCACACUCGAUUCAAGUAAAGUUGGAGAAACAGACACUCACUAGCCACCUGUGUGUGAAGCACGUCAGUAGAACCAGUCACGCGUAAGCGUACGCGUAAUGUCGGUCUGAGCCGCUUCCUCCAACAAUACCGCUGAAUCAAAGUAUGACAUGUUGGUAAGUAGUAUGAAUAUUAUCGCCCACAACUCUUUGUGUUCUACUCGUGCAAAUAACAUUUACGCAUAGAUCUGGCUCUGAUACCACUGUUGGGGAACAUACUAAUUUCAAAAUUUUCCUACGAUCAUGCAAGAUCUAUCUAGGUGAUGCAUAGCAAUGAGAGGGGAGAGUGUUGUCUACGUACCCUCAUAGACCGAAAGCGGAAGUGUUAUGACAACGCGGUCGAUGUAGUCGUACGUCUUCACGAUCCGAUUGAUCCUAGCACCGAAGGUACGGCACCUCCGUGAUUUGCACACGUUCAGCUCGGUGACGUCCCACGAACUCGAGAUCUAGCUGAGGUCGAGGGAGAGUCUCAUCAGCACGACGGCGUGGUGACAGUGAUGAUGAAGUUACCGGCGCAGGGCUUCGCCUAAGCACUACGACGAUAUGACUGAGGUGAAAUCUGUGGAGGGGGGCACCGCACACGGCUAAAAGAUCAACUUGUGUGUCUAUGGGGUGCCCCCUCCCCCAUAUAUAAAGGAGUGGAGGAGGGGAGGGCCGGCCCUCUAUGGCGCGCCGAAGGGGGGAGUCCUACUCCCGGUAGGAGUAGGUUUCCCCCUUCCCUAGUUGGAGUAGGAGAAGAAGGAAGACGGAGAAGGAGAGAAGGAAAGGGGGGCCAACCCCCUUCCCAAUUCGGAUUGGGCUUGGGAGGGUGCGCCCCCACCUUGGCCGCCUCCUCCUCUCUUCCACCAUGGCCCAUUAAGGCCCAUUGACUCCCCAGUGGGUUCCGGUAACCUCUGGUACUCCGGAAAAAUGCCUGAACCACUCGGAACCUUUCCGGUGUCCAAACAUAGCCUUCCAAUAUAUCAAUCUUUAUGUCUCGACCAUUUCGAGAUUCCACGUCAUGUCUGUGAUCACAUCCAGGACUCCGAACAACCUUAGGUACAUUAUAUAUCACAUAAACUCAUAAUACCAAUCGUCAUCGAACGUUAAGCGUGCGGACCCUAUGAGUUCAAGAACUAUGUAUACAUGACCGAGAAACGUCUUCGGUCAAUAACCAAUAGCGGAACCUGGAUCCUCAUAUUGAUUCCUACAUAUUCUAUGAAGAUCUUUAUCGGUCAAACUGCAUAACAACAUACAUUGUUCCCUUUGUCAUCGGUAUGUUACUUGCCCGAGAUUCGAUCGUCGGUAUCUCAAUACCUAGUUCAAUCUCGUUACCGGCAAGUCUCUUUACUCGUUCUGUAAUACUUCAUCCUGCAACUAAUUCAUUAGUCACAAUGCUUGCAAGGCUUAUAGUGAUGAGUAUUACCGAGAGGGCGCAUGUAAGGGCAUAUUUAUCCCUUAGUAGUUUUGGUGAUUGAUGACAAUGGUUUAGCGGACUAAUCGUGUGCAUCGAGCUUUUCAGAUAGAUCAUGUUAGAGCACAAAACGAUUUGGUGCCCCUCGAAGACUUUUGAAGACAGCGUUUCUCUACGUUUCUUUUCGGUGGAUUUGAGUCAUAGGAGAUUCGUACUAUUAAGAGGGGUCCACUUUGGAAAGGUUUGGGUGGAAUCUCACGUACACACCGUUUGCACCAUCUUUCCGUUGGCUCUUUGGAGUUUACUCUGUCUCACCGUAUCUCUGCAGGGUGAAGGCUUCCUAAGUGUUGAUGUUCAUAGGCUGGUAGAAGUACUGCUCCCCAGAGCGGUACUACCGCAGGCCCUUGUGGUAGUACCGGGCCCUGGCACGGUAGUACCGCAGGUGCCCAUGGAAGUACCGCUCCUCCUAAGCGGUAGUACCGUGAACUUUGGCCAAGCGCUACUGCGCAAGCGGUAGUAGGGGCGGAUGUAAUUUUUUACAUCCGCGCCCUACGCGGUAGUACCGUGCUCCGGCGCGGUAGUACCGUGAUACCGGGCCAGGCACAGUGGCACCAAGCAGAAAUAGGGGCGGAUGUAAUUUUUUACAUCCGCGGCCUCCACGGUAGUACCGCACCUGGUUUGCGGUAGUACCGUGUCGGACUUUUGCAUAGAUAUUUUCUCAACGGAGGUAGUCACGGAUGUAUUUUUUUAUAUCCGUGCCUACAGUGCCUGGACCAUGCCUACCUUGCGGAAGUACCACAUGGGGUCGCGGUAGUACCGCGCCAGCGGUUCUAUCGUCCCCUGUCGGUGCUCCUCAGAACGGGUCCAGGCCCUGCCGUGCCCGCGGUAGUACCGCAAUCCUCCGUGGUAGUACCGCAGGCACGUGCGGUAGUACUUCUCCUGGUGCACGGUAGUACCGCGGGUCGCGGGCUGAGUAGGUGGGUAACGGUUGGAUUUGUCCCGUGACUAUAAAAGGGGUGUCUUCAUCCUCUAGUUGACCACCUCUUCCACCUCUAAGCUCCAUUGUUGCUCCAAGCUCCAUUUUCGCCCGAUCUCCCUCCCUAGCCAAUCAAACUUGUUGAUUCUCUAGGGAUUGGUUGAGAAGGCCCCGAUCUACACUUCCACCAAGAGAAAUUUGAUUCCCCCACUAAUCCCUUGUGGAUCUUGAUACUCUUGGGUGUUUGAGCACCCUAGACGGUUGAGGUCACCUCGGAGCCAUAGUCCAUUGUGGUGAAGCUUCAUGGUGUCAUUGGGAGCCACCAAUUCAGUUGUGGAGAUUGCCCCAACCUUGUUUGUAAAGGUUCGGUCGCCGCCUCCAAGGGCACCAAUAGUGGAAUCAUGGCACCUCGCAUUGUGUGAGGGCGUGAGGAGAAUACGGUGGCCCUAGUGGCUUCUUGGGGAGCAUUGUGCCUCCACACCGCUCCAACGGAGACGUACUUCCCUUCAAAAGGAAGGAACUUCGGUAACACAUCCUCAUCUCCAUCGGUUCCACUUUUGGUUAUCUCUCACCUUUACUUGUGCAAGCUAUAUUGUGUUAUUUCCGUUGCUUGCUUGUGUACUUGUUGUUGUUGCAUCAUAUAGGUUGCUCACCUAGUUGCAUAUCUAGACAACCUACUUUGAUGCAAAGUUUAAUUUGGUAAAGAAAAGCUAAAAAUUGUUAGUUGCCUAUUCACCCCCCCUCUAGUCAACUAUAUAGAUCCCUUCAAUUGGUAUUAGAGCCUCAUCUCUUUAUUAAGGACUUUGUCGUCCAAAGAGUAUGGUUGAUACCGUAGACGGUGGGGAGGAACACUCCGGUGUGAAUUCGGUCUCGUCUAUGGCCGAUGGGGGAAUCACGGUCUCUCGUGAGGAAUUAAAUGUGGCUUUGGACACAUAGAAAACCUCCACGACGACCGAGGUCAAAAGCAUGUUUAAUUAAUUCUUAGAAGGACUUAAACUAUCUACCUCGCUGAUGAAAGUGGGUGAUCCCACUAACAAGGUGACGAAUGCUAACUUCGACAAGGGUCCUUCUACUAGUGGUAGAAAUGGAAAUGGUAUGUUUGCCCAUGUGGAACCUCCUCUUACCUAUAGAGGACCGAUUCCAUCUACUCAUUUAAAUCAUGCCGGCCCUCCUCCUAAGACUGUGAAAAAUGAAGAUUUUGUUGCUUGGGUCUAUCACUUUAAGUGUCAUUUAAAACAUGUUAACACUAAUCUUUGGAGAAUCAUUGAAGAAGGUCUCUAUCCGCAUGACCCAAGCAACUUCACCCCAAGAGAAGCCGCGGAUAAUCAAUUCAAUGAGAAUGCUCUCUUCAUCCUUCAAGAUGUAAUUCCACCCGAAGACAGUGCUCAUCUCCGACCGUUCACCGUGGCCAAAGAAGCAUGGCACCAUGUUGUUUCCCUCUACAAGGGAAGCACUAGCAUUCAAAGCUCCAACUAUGAAGUGGUGCAAGAUGAAGCCGAUGAGUUUGCAAUGAAUGAAGAUGAAGAGCCUCGUGUGCUUUACCGAAGAUUGACCACCCUUGCGGUCUCACUCCGAGAUCAUGGGAGUAAGGAUACGAAUGACAAUUGGAUCAAGCGCAAGUUCCUCAAGGCCAUGAUGCCUUACCACAAGGCCAUGUCUUCCGUCAUCCGUCAAAGGCCGUACUUCCACACCUUGUCCUCAAAUGCCGUGUUGGAUGAGUUUGUGGCGAUGAGGAUCUUGGACAAGACCGUCGACAAUGUGGUGUUGCAUUCUCAAAGAGCAAAGAAUCCCAACCCCGAAAAUACGAAAUAUGAUUAUCAUUAGCACAUGGCUCUUGCUUCAAGGCAAUUUUGGAGCAAGAAGAACACAAGGCCCAACUUCCACAAGAACAACUCAAGUGGCUUCAAGGGCAAGCAACAUGUGAGAACAUGUUACAAUUGUGGUAAUGUGAGCCACUUUGUUGUGGAUUUCCCUUACGAGAAGCGGGAAGACAAUGGUGGCAAGCUCAUCUGAAAAGACAAAGCCAAGUCGUUCCCCAACAAGAACAACUUCACCAAGAAGACUCCUAUCAAAGGGUUGGUGUCACAAGAAGAAUACAAUGAGGAGGAUUAUGAUGAUGAUGAAGAUAGUGAAGUCAUGGCCAUGGCCUCUGUUGCCAUUGCCACCACUCCACGGGUGUCUCUCUUCGAUUCACCCAACGAGAACAUCACCGCCAAAUGCCUCAUGGCCAAAACCACCAACAAGGUAACCCCCAACAUCAAAACUACCAUCAUUACUAAUCCCUCCUUGACGGAUUGCAUUGAUGAAAAUGAGGGGUCUAAUGAAGAGACAAAUGAAUUUGAGUCUUUUAUGAGUAAGCUCAAGGGCAAAUCCAAGAAGCACUUCGUUGCUCUCUUGGAACAACUUGGUGAAGCCAGUGACAUGAUCGAGGCUCAUGAAGAAACCAUCUCUAAGAUGGAAGUUCAUAGUCAUGACUAUGCCGAUGAGAUAUCGGAUCUCUCUAAUGCUCUUGAGGAAGAGUGUGGGCAUCAUUUGGCUCUUGAGGAGUCACACAACGAUGACCAUGCUAAAUUAAAGAAAGAUCUUGAUCAUGCUCUUAUUGUCUCUCAUGUGCUAAACUCCAAGAAGGCUAAACUUGGGGUUGACCUUGCUAGACUCAAAGAGGAGUUUGAUUUACUUGAAAAGGCUCACAAGGCCUUGAAGGGUGCUCAUGCUAACCUCAAGGAGUCUCAUUAUCAACUCCAAGUGAAGCUAACCAAGGAGAAAGCCACAUUUCCUCAUAUGGUCUUAAUUGAUAAUGCAAAUGCUACUAACCCGUGUUGGGAGCAUGUGCAUCUUGUGGAGGAGAAUGCCAAGUUGAAGGAGCAACUUAAUAAAGGCCUUGUGUCGUGUAUACAAGGUGAGAAGAAUCUCAACGACCUUUUGAGCAAUCAAAAGGAAGUUGUUGCCAAGGAGGGAGUUGGGUUCGCACCCAAGUUCAAUAACAAGAAGAAGAAUGACAAUACCAAACGACCUCCCCCUCUCAAGCAAACCUUUUUGAAGGAGGGAGAGGGUACUUCUAAGGAGAAUAAGAACAAUGUAAAGGAUGGCAACGUCAAAAGGGGCAAUGCCAUCCCUUCCAACAAAGACGACGGCUUUAACCCUUCUUAUGUGUUGUGCCGUGCUAGUGACGGGCAUGUUUAUGCUAAAUUUGUUGGUUCUCCUUAUGAGUACAUUGAAUGGUCUAUUUGGUUUCCCAAGACCCUUGUUACUAACAUCAAAGGACCCAUUACUCAAUGGGUACCUAAAACCAAGCAUUGAUCUCUUGUAGGUGUUUGCUUCCGAUGGGGGAUCAUGGUUGCUUGAUAGUGGAGCUACAAAUCAUAUGACCGGAAGCAAGGACCUGGUGGUGGAUGUGCAAAAGAUUCCAUCUAUGCCCACCAAUGUCGAGUGGGGUGAUGCAUCGUUCUCCAAGGUAUUGGGUCUUGGCAAGGUUGUCAUUUCUCAUGAUCUCACGAUCGAGAAAGUCAUGCUUGUUGAGUCCCUUGCAUACAAUUUACUUCCUGUUCGUCAACUUGCACUCAUGGAUUUUGCCACUUUCUUUGAUAUUGAUACCAUGGCCCUCUUGUGGAGCAAGACUCUUAAAGUAGCUUUUGUUGGGCAUGUCGAGAAUGGUCUUUAUGUGAUUAACUUUUCGGAGUGACCCACUAAGACCGCGACAUGCCUAAUGGCUAAAGUUGAUGUGGGAUGGCUUUGGCAUCGCCGUCUAGCCCAUGUCAAUAUGAGAUCUUUGCAAAGUCUUCUCAAGGGGGACCAUGUACAUGGACUAAUGAAUGUUAGUUUUGCCAAAGAUCGUGCUUGCAGUGCUUGUAUCGAAGGAAAGCUACAUGAGAAGGCUCACCCUCCCACGACUAUCAUCUACUCGAAGAGACCCUUGGAGCUCCUUCACAUGGAACUCUUUGGGCCUCCAUCCUUUGAUAGUCUUGGGGGUAGAAAGUAUUGCUUGGUGAUCAUGGAUGACUAUUCAAGAAAUACUUGGGUAUAUUUCUUCAAGAGGAAGAGCGAGACUCAACAAACUGUCAUCGACUUUGCAAAUGAAGCUCAACGUCAACAUGAUGCAAAGAUCUUGACAAUAAGGAGUGACAAUGGCACUGAGUUCAAGAACUACACCUUGGAUGAGUUUCUUAGUGAUGAGGGGAUCAAGCAUCAAUAUGCUGCACCUUACACCCCUCAACAAAAUGGUGUAGCGGAGAGGAAGAACCGAACGUUGAUGGAUGCGGCAAGGACCAUGAUGGCGGAGUUCAAGCCUCCUUACAACUUUUGGGCCAAAGCCAUCAACACAACAUGUCAUGCAUCAAAUCGGCUCUAUCUCCGCAAAGGCUUGAACAAGACUCUGUAUGAAACACUCGCCGGUAACAAGCCCAACCUCAAGUACUUCCGGGUGUUCGGGUGUAAGUGUUUCAUUCUCAAGAAAGGUGUUCGUUAGUCUAAAUUUGAGGCUAGAGCUCAUGAGGGCAUAUUUGUUGGUUAUGCUACAAACUAUCAUGCUUACCGUGUCCUCAACAAGUCCAUGGGGCUCAUUGAGGAGACGUGUAACAUGGAGUUUGACGAGAAUAACGGCUCCCAAGUGGAGCAAAGUGGUACUUGUGAUGUAGGUGAUGAAAUUACUCCCCAAGCCAUAAGAAGAAUGGGUGUUGGUUAUAUCCUACCCAUUGAGGAACCCCUUGUGGCCGAAGGAGAAGGACAAUGCUCCAAUCAAGUGGAGCCAUCACCAACCCAAGACACACACGCUUCCGAAGAACAAAGUGAAGGCCCUCAACCUCGUGAACAAGAUCAAGGGCAAGAUCAACCUAAAGUUGGUGGUGAACCACCAAGCGAUGCCCAAGGUCAAGUUCUCCCUUUCGAGCAAGCUCAAGAUCAAGAGCAAGCUCAAGAUGAUGAACAAGCUCGAGACGGCGCUCAAGAUGAUCAAGCCCCCUCCUCCUUUCACAUCCGAGGAGGAAUUAGAGCGUCGUGCUGCGAAGAUCGCUUCCAAGCUCACUACCAAAGGUCAUCUCAUGGAGAAUGUGGUUGGAAGCCUAAGAAAGGGGGUAAGCACUUGUAGACAAUUAGCAAACUAUUGUGAACAUCACGCGUUUGUUUCUUGUGUCGAACCCCAAAAGAUCUAUGAGGCGCUCGAGGAUCUGGAUUGGCUCAAUGCCAUGCAUGGAGAACUCAACAACUUCGAGCACAACCAAGUGUGGAAAUUAAUGCCAAGGCCGACCAGGAAUCAUAAUGUCAUUGGAACCAAGUGGAUAUUCAAGAACAAGCAAGAUGCUCAUGGGAUCAUUGUUCGCAACAAGGCUCGUUUGGUGGCACAAGGCUACUCCCAAGUCAAGGGUAUCGACUACGGUGAAACCUUUUCUCCCGUUGCUUGCCUUGUAUUCGUUCGUUGAUUGCUUAUGCUUCUCAUCAUAAUUUCAAGUUGCAACAAAUGGAUGUGAAGAGUGCUUUUCUUAAUGGUCCCAUUAAUGAGUUGGUGUAUGUCAAACAACCCUCGGGGUUCGAGGAUCCCUAUUUCCCCGAUCAUGUGUACCAACUCAACAAGGCGGUCUAUGGCCUUAAACAAGCCCCACGUGCGUGGUAUGAGAAUCUUACGGAGUUUUUACAAGAUCGUGGGUUCGAAAUCGGGAAAAUCAACCCCAUUCUUUUUACUAAGAAGGUCAAAGGGGAGUUGUUUGUGUGCCAAUUAUAUGUUGAUGAUAGUAUUUUUGGUUCCCCUAACCAAGCUUUCAAUGAAGAAUUUGCCGCUCUCGUGACCUCAAAGUUCAAGAUGUCUAUGAUGGGAGAGUUGAAGUUCUUUCUCGGGUUCGAAAUCAAGCAAAGAAUAGAAGGAACCUUCAUCAACCAAGCCAAAUACACUCAAGACAUGCUCAAGAGAUUCAAGCUAAGUGAUGUCAAGCCGGCCUCCACUCCAAUGCCCGUCAAAUGCCAACUUGACAUUGAUCCCAAUGGUAAAGCGGUGGAUCAAAAGGUAUAUUGCUCCAUGAUUGGAUCCUUGCUUUACUGUUGUGCAUCUAGACCGGAUAUCAUGUUGAGUGUGGGAAUUUGUGCACGGUUUCAAGCGCACAUAAGGAAAGCCACUUUGUGGCGGUCAAGCGAAUCUUUCGAUAUUUGGCUCAUACCCCAAACUUUGGCUUAUGGUACCCAAGAGGAGCCAACUUUGAUCUUUUGGGCUUUACAGACUCAGAUUGGGCGGGAGACAAAGUGGAUAGGAAGUCCACCUCUAGAGGGUGCCAAUUGCUUGGUUGCUCUUUAGUGAGUUGGUCUUCUAAGAAGCAAAGUUGUGCAUCUCUCUCGUCCACCGAAGCGGAGUAUGUGGCUGCCGGUAGUUGUUGUGCUCAACUUCUAUGGAUGAGGAAAACUUUGAAGGAUUACGGUGUCACAUGUGACGAAGUGCCUCUUUGGUGUGACAAUGAAAGUGCCAUCAUGAUUUCUCUCAACCCGGUGCAACACUUCAAGACGAAGCAUAUUGAGAUUCGGUAUCACUUCAUCCGGGAUCACAUUAGGCGAGGGGAGAUCACGCUCAAGUAUGUCAACACUAGUGUUAACCUUGCAGAUAUUUUCACGAAGCCCUUGGAUGAAGCAAGAUUUCGUGAGUUAAGGCAUGAGCUAAAUAUCAUUGAUUCGAGCAAUGUAGUUUGAACCCUUGCACACCCCACCAUACUCAUCAUGCUACCUUGUCUAGGUGUAGGCAUGGACAUAGGGGGAAUGUUGUUCCCUCAAUGAACUUUCCCUCCCCCCAUUAUGCAUAAAUUGAUCAAACUCUUUCACAUUAACCAUUUUUAUGGUACUUGUGCUUCAAAGACGAGUCUUGGUCAUGGGCCCAUAGAUAUUCUUCGUGGCACUACAAAAAAAAAGACAC
rnacentral:lncRNA from 1 species